rnacentral:lncRNA from 1 species
UAUUUUUGGCUGUACCGCACACGCUAGGUGUACUCUGUAUAGAUAGUAGCCCCUGAGACUCUGGUUGCCGUCCAAAGGCGGUAAUCAGAGGAUCAUAGUCCCAGGUAAUGAUCGCGCUGCUUUCAUGUGUAGGCGGCUGAGGGUCCGGUGGCUGACCGGACUGCUGAUUUCACCGAACUGAGGCAACAGCUUGACGUGGCAGAUGCCGACAUCACGCUUGUGAACAAGCAGCUUGACGAGGCACAUGGUAUGUUUUUUCGAAUUGUCAACAAAUAUUAAGAGGAGCUCGAUGCUAGUAUCUAUAAUAUGAUGUGACCGCGGAUGGAGCUGCCGCUGUGGAGACCCUUUGAGCGGAACUUGCCCAAUCCAAGGAUCAAGCCAGGAGAAGUAAUGCGGCCGUCCUAAAGGCGGCCGAGGAGUUAAGAGCCGAACAGGCUGCUCAUCGCCAGGGCGAAGAUAAAAUAGCCAAGAUGGCUGUUGAGCUGAAGGAUGCCACCGACCGAUAUGAGGUCCUUAAAAAGGAAAACCAAGCAAAAGUGGCUGACCUGAAGAAGGUCUUUGACGCAGGCAAGGAAACUCGCUCUAAGAUCAGAGCAACAAGGGAGGAGCUUCGUCAAGACGGAGAUAUCACGGCUGGGAAGUCCUUUCUAUUGCGGACGAAGUUCGAAGAUCCGAAGUAUGCCCCUCUGAAUCAAUUAUGGAGUGCUGAGGACGCGUACUUGGACUUGGCCAAGAGUGUUGCUGAUGCGACUGAAUAUUUCAAAGAUCAGAAAGAUCAUGAGGUGGAACAGUUGUUCUGGUCGCAGUUCAGUGCUCCAAAGCGUCUGCUGCUAUUAAAUGAACAAAUGGCCGAGUGGGCCGAGCUCCAUAGGUUAUCCAGGCUUGCCAUGAGGUCUGUCGUGGAUCAUCUUUGGCCGAAGGGACCAAGGCCGGACAGUUAUUUUGGCUUGGUGCAACGAUUCCUUGGUGUUGUGCCACAUAUCGAUGCUGUAAAGAGGUCGGUGUGCAUAGAGGGUGCGUGGAUGGCUCUCGCCCGUGUUAAAACAUAGUGGGCAAGGAUGGAGGCCACCGCUCUUGCAACCCUGGGUCCGGCAAGAGGCCAGCACCCGACUGAGCACUAUUUCAAGGAAGUCCUAGAAGGCGCCCAUUUAAUAGAGGCUCAGUGCUCGAAGAGUACCAUGUUUGAGUGACAUGUAUCUUAAUUGUAAAAAGAAUGCUAUUUUGAUUAUAAAGGUUGUGUUUAUACUUUUUCCCGAAAGUAUUAUAGUGCCUCCUAUGCGGCCGUUUCUGUAUGUAUAUAACCUGAAAGUUUGCAGUCGUCGGCUUCACCCCCCACACAUAUAAUGCGGGGGUGUUCGAAAAAAGCGCGUAAUCAUACUUGAUCCAACGUCUUGGUCCUUUAAGGAGGUGAUAGCGCGGCGAACCAGGCAAUCGGACUAUAUAGCUUUAACACUUUCACUUAGCCAUAGGAGUUUGACGGCGGGGCUACUAUAGAGCCCCUGGUACUUCCGCGUUCAUCCAAAUAUGGUGCGCGUACGUACAUGAUCGGGAAACCGGUCCUUUGUUAAUGUGGAGGAAUCGUGAAGAUUCUGCUAAGUCAUUGAGUGGUUGACUAGUCUCGCGCUAUAUCAUGACAAUCAGUUUUCGGCUUUCUCUACUGAGGUGCUCGUCCGGAAGAACUAGGACACAAUCGUAGUAGUUCUCCCAGUGCUACCUUAGCCGACAUAGCGGAACGUAAGGUACCAAAACAUGGGAGCCGGGCAAACCCAACUAUUGACUCAAGACAUGAUUCGGAGUUGAUGCAUAUAAGGCCAAACUCGCGACGCCGAACACUCCCUAAGGUAUUCGGACUUUAAAACAUAUACUCGGCUGAGUAGCGCCCUCGAUAAUGAGCCCUGAAUUUCCAGGUACACGCAUUGAUUUGGCAUGGCGAAAUGCCAAUAACGCCAGUGUCCCUCUCGGUUGUGUUAAGUACUCAGAGGGUGUCAAGCAACAAGAGACAUUAGAAAAGGUUUACACAGGGGCUUAAUCUAAAGAGAAACCUGUGAGCGGGGCCCUGUUGCAUGUCUGCGCAUUUGUCUCCGUUGUGUCGUAUCCUGGAAGGGUGUAGCACGAUGAUCAUCUGUAAAGAAGAAAAACCCAGGUGAAAAAAGGUCUGGUGUGAUCGUGCUAAAAGGUGGUUAUUCUUAAUGAACCAUGAAGAUGCAUUCUAUUAUUGUAUUAAUAGGGUCAAGCCGAACUAUGGGCUUUUUUUAUACGGGCAGCCCCUAGCACCGCCUAUUGGGGUAUAUCCAUCCACCCGAGCUCAGGUUUAUCUGGGCUGCUACAACUAGCGGUGCACCGGACACGUCUAACCGUGUCUGUGGUCUUGACGACCGAUCAGUUAUUCUGGUUGGGGAGGCCGUUCCGCUGCUAGAGCCACCACGUAUGCUUUCGCAUGUAGAGAGUGUUCUGUAUUUCCGUUGAUUGUGAUGACGCCACGUGGACCGGGCAUCUUGAGUUUAAGAUAAUCGUAAUACGGAACUGCGUUGAAACGGGAAAAGGUCGUUCUUCCGAGUAGUGCAUGGUAGCCGCUUCGGAAUUUAGCGAUGUCGAAGAUUAGUUCUUCACUUCGGAAGUUGUCGGGUGAGCCGAAUACAACCUCUAGUGCUAGAGAGACCGUGCAACGGGCCUCUACGCCUGGUAUUACUCCUUUAAAGGUAGUACUACUUUGGUUAAUUCUUGAUGGGUCUAUCCCCAUCUUGCAGAUAGUGUCUUGAUAUAUCAGAUUAAGACUACUGCCGCCGUCCAUAUGGACUCGGGUGAGAUGGUAUCCGUUAAUUAUUGGGUCGAGCAUCAAGGCAGCCGAUUGCUAUGUCUUGAGCUAGCAUUGGUUUUCCCCAAAGAGGAGAGGGUGAUGCAGCAAGUGUAGCGUAAGUAUUUCCCUCGGUUUUUGAGAACCAAGGUAUAAAUCCAGUAGGAGGCUCCUCAAAAGUCCCAUGCACCUACACAAACAAACUGAGAACUCGCAACCAACACAAUAAAGGGGUUGUCAAUCCCUUCACGGCCACUUGCAAAAGUGAGAUCUGAUAGAGAUAGUAUGAUAAGAUAAAUAAAUUUUUCAUAUUUUAUAAUAUAGAUGCAAGAAAGUAAAGAUGCAAAUAAAAGUAAAUUGAAAGCAAAUAUGAUAAGAGAUAGACCCGGGGGCCAUAGGUUUCACUAGAGGCUUCUCUCGAGAGGAUAAGUAUUACGGUGGGUGAACAAUUUACUGUCAAGCAAUUGAUAGAAAAGCGAAUAACUAUGACGUUAUCUAGGCAUGAUCAUAUAUAUAGGCAUCACAUCCAAAACAAGUAGACCGACUCCUGCCUGCAUCUACUACUAUUACUCCACACAUCGACCGUUAUCCAGCAUGCAUCUAGAGUAUUAAGUUCAUAAGAACAGAGUAACGCAUUAAGCAAGAUGAUAUGAUGUAGAGGGAUAAACUCAUGCAAUAUGAUAUAAACCCCAUCUUGUUAUCCUCGAUGGCAACAAUACAAUACGUGUCUUGCAACCCUUUCUGUCACUGGGUAAGAACACCGCAAGAUUGAACCCAAAGCUAAGCACUUCUCCCAUGGCAAGAAAGAUCAAUCUAGUAGGCCAAACCACACCGAUAAUUCGAAGAGACUUGCAAAGACAAAUCAAUCAUACAUAAAAGAAUUCAGAGAAGAUUCAAUUAAUAACCAUAGAUAAAUCUGAUCAUAAACUCAUAGUUCAUCGGAUCUUGACAAACACACCGCAAAAAAAGAUUACAUCGAAUAGAUCUCCACAAGAGAGGGGGAGAACAUUGUAUUGAGAUCCAAAAAGAGAGAAGAAGCCAUCUAGCUAAUAACUAUGGACCCGUAGGUCUGUGGUAAACUACUCACAACUCAUAGGAGGGGCAAGGAUGUUGAUGUAGAGGCCCUCUGUGGUCGAUUCCCCCUCCGGCAGAGUGCCGGCGAAGGCUCCAAGAUGGGAUCUCGCGAAUACAGAAGGUUACGGUGGUGGAAAUUGUGUUUCGUGGUGCCCCCAGAUGUUUUCGGGGUCCGUAGGUAUAUAUAGGAAGAAGAAGUACGUCGGUGGACGCCCGAGGGGCCCACAAGACAGGGAGGCACGCCCUACGGGGGGGCACCCUCCUAUCUCGUGGGGCCCUUGGAGCUUUCUUAACUUUCACUCCAGGCCCUCCGGAUCAGAUUUGUUCCAAAAAUAACGCCCCCGAAGGUUUCAUUCCGUUUGGACUCCGUUUGAUAUUCCUUUUCUUCGAAAUAAUGAAAUAGGUAAAAAAACAGCAAUAUGGGCUGGGCCUCCGGUUAGUAGGUUAGUCCCAAAAAAAUGAUAUAAAUAUGUAGAAUAAAGCCCAUAAGCAUCCAAAACAGGUAAUAUAAUAGCAUGGAACAAUCAAAAAUUAUAGAUACGUUGCAGACGUAUCAAGCAUCCCCAAGCUUAAUUCCUGCUCGUCCUCGAGUAGGUAAAUGAUAAAAAGAGAAUUUUUGAUGUGGAAUGCUACCUAGCAUAAUUCAUAAUGUAAUUUUCUUUCAUUGUGGCAUGAAUGUUCAGAUCCAAAUAAUACAAAAUAAAAGUUCAUAUUGACAUAAGAAAUAGUAAUACUUCAAGCAUACCAAGCAAGUAAUCAUGUCUUCUCAAAAUAGCAUGGCCAAAAGAAAGUUAUCCCUACAAAAUCAUAUAGUCUGGUUAUACUCUAUCUUCAUCACACAAAGUAUUUAAUCAUGCACAACCCCGAUGACGAGCCAAGCAAUUGUUUCAUACUUUAAUAAUCUCAAACUCUUUCAACUUUCACGCAAUACAUGAGCAUGAGCCCUGGACCUAGCACUAUAUGUGGAAUAGAACGGUGGUUGUGGAGAAGACAAAAAAGGAGAAGAUAGUCUCACAUCAACUAGGUGUAUCAACGGGCUAUGGAGAUGGCCAUUAAUAGAUAUCAAUGUGAGUGAAUAGGGAUUGCCAUGCAACGGAUGCACUAGAGCUAUAAAUAUAUGAAAGCUCAACAAAAGAAAACUAGUGGGUGUGCAUCCAACUUGCUCGCUCACGAAGACCUAGGGCAUUUUGAGGAAGCCCAUCAUUGGAAUAUACAAGCCAAGUUCUAUAAUGAAAAAUUCCAACUAGUAAAUGAAAGUGACAACAUAUGAGACUCUCUAUCAUGAAGAUCAUGGUGCUAUUUUGAAGCACAAGUGUGGAAAAAGAUAGUAGCAUUGUCCCUUCUCUCUUUUUCUCUCAUUCUUUUAUUUCUUUUCUUUUCUUUUUUUCUUUCCUUUUUUUUCUUUUUGGCCUCCCCUUUUUUUCUUUGGCCUUUUUUUCCUUUUUUUUCCUUUUUGCAAAGUCCGAAGUCUCAUCCCGACUUGUGGGGGAAUCAUAGUCUUCAUCAUCCUUUCCUCACUAGGACAAUGCUCUAAUAAUGAAGAUCAUCACACUUUUAUGGAUUUACAACUCAAAGCUAGAACAAGAUAUGACUCUAGGUGAAUGCCUCCGGCGGUAUACCGGGAUAUGCAAUGAAUCAAGAGCGACAUGUAUGAAGAAUAUGAUGGUGGCUUUGCCACAAAUACGAUGUCAACUACAUGAUCAUGCAAAGAGCAAUAUGAAAAAAGUAAUGUGUGUCAUAUGAAUGGAACGGUGGAAAGUUGCAUGGCAAUAUAUCUCGGAAUGGCUAUGGAAGUGCCAUAAUAGGUAGGUAUGGUGGCUGUUUUGAGGAAGGUAUAAGGUGGGUGUAUGGUACCGGCGAAAGUUGCAUGAUACAAGAGAGGCUAGCAAUAAUGGAGGGGUGAAAGGAGUGUGUAUAAUCCAUGGACUCAACAUUAGUCAAAAGAACUCAUAUACUUGUUCUUAAAAUUUAGAACUCAUCAAAACCAAAGCACUACACGCAUGCUCCUAGGGGGAUAUAUUGGUAGGAAAAGACCAUCGCUUGUCCCCGACUGCCACUCAUAAGGAAGACAAUCAAUAAAUAAAAUUGUGCUCCAACUUCAUCACAAAGCGGUUCACCAUACGUAUAUGCUACGGGAAUCACAAACUUCAACACAAGCAUUCUUUAAAUCCAUAAUCACCCAACUAGCAUGACUUUAAUAUUACUACCUCCAUAUCUCAAAACAAUUAUCAAGCAUCAAAUUGAUCAUAGCAUCCAAUUCACUCUCUAUGAUUGUUUUUAUUAUACCCAACUUGGAUGCUCAUCAUUCUAGGACCAAAUUAAAACCAUAGCAAAUACCAUGCUGUUCUAAGAGACUCAAAAUAAUAUAAGUGAAGCAUGAGAGACUAGAAAUUUCUAUAAAAUUAAUCCACCACCAUGCUCUAAAAGAUAUAAGUGAAGCACUAGAGCAAAAACUAUCAAGCUCAAAAGAUAUAAGUGAAGCACAUAGAGUAUUCUCGCAAAUUCUAAUCAAAUAGGCUUCUCCGAAAAGGUGUGUUACAGCAAGGAUGAUUGUGGUAAACUAACAAGCAAAGACCAAUAUAAUACAUGACGCUCCAAGCAAAACACAUAUCAUGUAGCGAAUAAAAAUAUAGCUCCAAGUAAAGUUACCAAUGAACGAAGACGAAAGAGGGGAUGCCUUCCCGGGGCAUCCCCAAGCUUAGGCUUUUGGCUAUUCUUGAAUAUCUUGGGGUGCCAUAAGCAUCCCCAAGCUUAGGCUCUUGCCACUCUUUAUUCCAUAGUCCAUAAAAGCUUUACCCAAAACUUGAAAACUUCACAACACAAAACUCUACAGGAAAUCUUAUAAGCUCUGUUAGUGAAAGAAAACAAAACCACCACAUAAGGUACUGUAAUGAACUCAUUCUUUAUUUAUUUUGGUGUUAAACCUACUUUAUUCCAACUUCCUUAUGGUUUAUAAACUAAUUUAUUAGCCAUAGAUGCAUUGAAAUAAGCGAACAACGCAUGAAAAACAGAAUCUUUCAAAAACAAAACAGUCUGUAGUAAUCUGUAACUAACGCAAACUUCUAGAACUCUAAAAAUCCUACAAAAUAGGACAUACUGGAAAAAAAAAUUAUUGAUCAUAAUAAAAAAGAAUCAAUGCAAAGUCUCUUUUCUGUGAUUUAUUGAUUUUUUUCUCGUGAGCACAAAGUUUCUGUUUUUCAGCAGAAUCAAAUCAACCAUCAUCAUAGUUUAUCCUAUAGGUUCUACUUGGCACAAACACUAAACAAAACAUAAAAACACAUCUAAACAGAAAGUAGAUGCAAGAUUUAUUACUAAACAGGAACAAAAGCAAAGAACAUAAAGAAAAAUUGGGUUUCCUCCCAACUAGCGCUAUCGUUUAACGCCCCUAGCUAGGCAUAAAAGCAAGGAUAGACCUAACGAGUGCCAUCUUUGGCACUUGAUUCAUAAGUAGCAUGCAUGAUAGAUUCAUAAGGUAAUCUGACUUUCUUUCUUGGAAAGUGCUCCAUGCCUUUCUUUAAAGGAAAUUGGAAUCUAAUGUUCCCUUCCUUCAUAUCAAUAAUCGUUCUAAGGAAAGGUCUACCAAGAAUAAUAGGGCAAGAAAGAUUGCAAUUUAUAUCAAGAACGAUAAAAUCUACGGGCACCAAAUUUCUAUUUGCAAUAAUAAGAACAUCAUUGAUCCUUCCCAUAGGUUUCACUAGAGGCUUCUCUCGAGAGCAUAAGUAUUAUGGUGGGUGAACAAUUUACUGUCAAGCAAUUGAUAGAAAAGUGAAUAACUAUGACGUUAUCUAGGCAUGAUCAUAUAUAUAGGCAUCACAUCCAAAACAAGUAGACCGACUCCUGCCUGCAUCUACUACUAUUACUCCACACAUCGACCGCUAUCCAGCAUGCAUCUAGAGUAUUAAGUUCAUAAGAACAGAGUAACGCAUUAAGCAAGAUGAUAUGAUGUAGAGGGAUAAACUCAUGCAAUAUGAUAUAAACCCCAUCUUGUUAUCCUCGAUGGCAACAAUACAAUACGUGUCUUGCAACCCUUUCUGUCACUGGGUAAGAACACCGCAAGAUUGAACCCAAAGCUAAGCACUUCUCCCAUGGCAAGAAAGAUCAAUCUAGUAGGCCAAACCAAACCGAUAAUUCGAAGAGACUUGCAAAGAUAACUCAAUCAUACAUAAAAGAAUUCAGAGAAGAUUCAAUUAAUAACCAUAGAUAAAUCUGAUCAUAAACUCACAUUUCAUCGAAUCUUGACAAACACACCGCAAAAAGAGAUUACAUCGAAUAGAUCUCCACAAGAGAGGGGGAGAACAUUGUAUUGAGAUCCAAAAAGAGAGAAGAAGCCAUCUAGCUAAUAACUAUGGACCCGUAGGUCUGUGGUAAACUACUCACAACUCAUAGGAGGGGCAAGGAUGUUGAUGUAGAGGCCCUCCGUGGUCGAUUCCCCCUCCGGCAGAGUGCCGGCGAAGGCUCCAAGAUGGGAUCUCUCGGAUACAGAAGGUUACGGUGGUCGAAAUUGUGUUUCGUGGUGCCCCCAGAUGUUUUCGGGGUCCGUAGGUAUAUAUAGGAAGAAGAAGUACGUCGGUGGAUGCCCGAGGGGCCCACGAGACAGGGGGCGCGCCCUACAGGGGGGGCGCCCUCCUAUCUCGUGGGGCCCUCGGAGCUUUCUUGACUUGCACUCCAGGCUCUCCGGAUCAGAUUUGUUCCAAAAAUAACGCUCCCAAAGGUUUCAUUCCGUUUGGACUCCGUUUGAUAUUCCUUUUCUUCGAAAUACUGAAAUAGGCAAAAAAACAGCAAUAUGGGCUGGGCCUCUGGUUAGUAGUUUAGUCCCAAAAAUGAUAUAAAUAUGUAGAAUAAAGCCCAUAAGCAUCCAAAACAAGUAAUAUAAUAGCAUGGAAAAAUUAAAAAUUAUAGAUACGUUGGAGAUGUAUCACCGAUCCUCCGUGCCGGAUACUAGUCGGAUGAUCCCUGCGAUCAAAAGUAAUCGGGCAGGCCGACCAAGGGCUGAACUUGGGGUGAUUGGGUCUACAGCGUAUACGUCUUGGAGUGCACGCUUGCGCCUCCUUUUUCGUAUAUGAGUUGCGUAAAUCAUGUUAAAUGUUUUGACCUCUGGUGGAAUUUUUUUUUGUCCUGCAGUGUUCGGCUGGCGAGGCUCAUCCUCGUCUUCACUUGGUGUCUCCCUCCUCUUGUGUUUGGCGUUUAGUAUGCCGGCCUGCUUGAAGACCCAGCAUUCUCCGUUUGGUGUGGUUUGCAGGUUUUUGGGGGUGCCAUGAAUCUAACAUAAUCUGUCUAGAAUGUUGUUUAGGUUGGACGGUCCAUCAUUGUUGCCUUUAAAUGGCUUUUUUCGUUGACCAGGUCGAGAGCCCCUGAAUCCGGCGUUGAUCGCCGUAUUGUCUGGGUUGUCUUCAUUGUUGCGACGCUCGAUUUUAUUGCGCCGCGGCUUCCCAUUGCCAUCCCUGACUUCGGAUGUGCUUGGGUCGCUGGUGCCGCUGCGGGCCAACCAGCUGUCCUUGCCCGCGCAAAAGCGGGUCAUAAGGCUUGUUAAAGCUGCUAUUGUCCUUGGCUUUUCCUGGCCGAGGUGUCUGGCUAACCAUUCGUCUCGGAUACUGUGCUUGAAGGCCUCUAAGGCUUCAGCGUCCGGGCAAUCGAUGAUUUGAUUCUUCUUAGUGAGAAAUCUGUUCCAGAGCUUACGGGCUGACUCUCCGGGUUGUUGGAUUAUGUGACUUAGAUUGUCAGCGUCCGGAGGUCGGACAUAGGUCCCUUGAAUAUUGGCCCUGAAAGCAUCCUCAAGUUCCUCCCAACUUCCAAUUGAGUUUUCGGGGAGGAUUUUCAACCAAUGCCGAGCUGGUCCUUUCAACUUGAGGUGCAUGUAUUUGAUGGCGUGGAGAUCAUCUCCACGAGCCAUGUGGGUACGAAGGAUAAAGUCCUCAAUCCAGACCCCAGGGUCUGUCAUUUAGUUGUAUUCCUAUAUAUUCACGGGUUUAAAUCCCUCUGGAAAUUCAUGAUCCAGCACCUCAUCGGUGAAGCACAGGGGAUGCGCAGCACCCCUGUAUUUGGAUGUGUCGUGGCAUGCUGUUGACGGCUGUUGUGUUCGGUGUUGAUUCCGAGCUGGUAUUCGAUCGGUAUGAUCGUUUUGGUGGUUGUGAUCCUGCGCCGGAGUCCGUUUUCUAGAUCCGUAGAUGGACCUGGCCACACCAUUUUUUUGUUCAGGAGCUCACAUAAAUUGUGUGCUGACUUGUGUGUGGCAUCAUUAGCCGCCUUGUCGCGGCCACGGGGUGGUCGGUCUGGCUGAUUGGUUGUAUCAUUUUUCAGCGGGAUGGGCUCUAUGGCCUCGUCGUCGAAUUCGGGUAGCAGCUUGUGCUUUGGGUAGCUCUUUGUGUGGCGAUCAUCACCGUAUUUCUCUUUAAUGUCGAGCACUUUGUUCCAUCUGCGGUUGAGCGUAUCCUGCAUGGCCUUAAGCCUUUGCUUCUGCUUCUUCAAGCUCCUCGCGGUGGCAAUAAGCCUUCUAUGGAGGUUGUCUUGUUCCAAGUGUUUUUCCGGGAUGAUGAGUGCAUCAUCGCCCGGACUGUUCUCCUCUCCGGAGACAGGUUGAUGAGUUUUGCCCUCGGGAUCGCCGUCAUCGGACAUCGGCUCCAGACUAUGUUCACCGUCCCCUGGCUCAUCCUGCUCCAUCGCUGGGUCCAUGGGGUCGUCAUUUCCUUUGGAGUCGACUGGGGUGCUAUUCUUUCUUGCGCUGUUAUCAUUGUUUUUGCUGUGGCGGGAUUUAGAGCGGCGCCUACGUCGUCGCUUUGGUUUCUGCUCAAGGGGAUUAUCCUCCUUUGCAUCCCUUCGUUCCUCGCUGUUGUUUUCUUUAGUUGUAUCCACCAUGUAUAUAUCAUAUGAUGAGGUGGCUGUCCAGCGCCCUGCGGGCGGUGGUUCUUGUUCCUCUUUGGCGUCAUCGUCCAUACUUUUGAUGUCUUCAGAGUCGAAGUGAAGCAUGUCGGUUAAGUCAUCGACAGUGGCUAUUAAGUGGGUGGUGGGUGGGGAAUGAAUUCCUUCGUCGUCCGCUUCCCACUCAAGCCGGACAUAGUUCGGCCAAGAGUCUCCUGAUAAAGAGAGAGACCUUAAUGAGUUUAGCAUGUCGCCCAAGGGUGAGUGCUGAAAGAUAUCCACGGAGGUAAACUCCAUAAUCGGUGCCCAAUCAGAUUCGAUAGGCACGGACGCGCACGGUUUGGAACCUAUGACCGGAGACGAAUCCGAGGGUCCGAUGACACAGAUCUCUUUGGAAGUGAAGUCUGUGUUUGGCUCCAGCGCCAAUGAAUGUGCGGCCUCCGCGAUGGGGUCCAUCCACCCAUCCUUGGAUGGCGUGAUCUGCUCCAGAUUGAAGGCCGGGGCAGCCGCAGGUGCGAUCUCUCGAACACCGUUCGAUGGCAGAUCUAAGUCAUGCCCGUUGUUAGGCGCUCCUGACAAGGGCUCGAAUCCGUCGAAGAUAAAGUCUCCGCGGAUGUCUGUGGUGUAGUUCAAGUUUCCAAACCUGACCAGAUGGCCAGGGGCGUAGCUAUCGAUCUGCUCCAAACGGCCAAGCGAGUUGGCCCUCAGUAUGAUGCCACCGAAUACGAAGAUCUGUCCGGGGAGGAAAACCUCACCCUGGACCGCCUCAUUGCUGAUGAUUGAAGGAGCCAUCAAGCCUUAUCGCGACGACACAGUGGAACUCUCAAUGAAAGCACCAAUGUCGGUGUCAAAACCGGCGGAUCUCGGGUAGCGGGUCCCGAACUGUGCGUCUAAGGCUAAUGGUAACAGGAGGCUGGGGACAUGAUGUUUACCCAGGUUCGGGCCCUCUCGAUGGAGGUAAUAUCCUACUUCCUGCUUGAUUGAUCUUGAUGAUAUGAGUAUUACAAGAGUUGAUCUACCACGAGAUCGUAGAGGCUAAACCCUAGAAGCUAGCCUAUGAUAUGAUUGUUGUUGUCCUAUGGACUAAACCCUCCAGUUUAUAUAGACACUGGAGGGGGCUAGGGUUACAUAGAGUCGGUUACAGAGAAGGAGAUCUACAUAUCCGGAUUGCCAAGCUUGCCUUCCACACAAAGGAGAGUCCCACCUGGACACAGGACGAAGUCUUCAAUCUUGUAUCUUCAUAGUCCAACAGUCCGGCCGAAGUAUAUAGUCCAGCUGUCCGAGACCCCCUAAUCCAGGACUCCCUCAGCCCCCAUUCCAGAGGUGCGUCGGACAACACAUCUGGGGAGAUUAAAACUCCCUCUUCCGAAGAUGAAAGGGAAAGGGAAACUGACAUCUCUUCUUCCCAUGGCGAGAAGAGGAUCACUUCCGAAGACCUGAAUACAAAGGCUUCUAAGCGAGGGAAGAUAUCCCUAUCAGGGGCUCUGGUCCGGGAGGUGAUGUUGACAUGUAGUAUCUCCAUAAAGACAGGCCCGCAGCUGAAUCGUAAGUGAACAUGGGUGUUCUAAACAUAUCCCCUUCUUUCUUGGUUGCUCGAGUAAUAUUUAAAAUAUAUGUUUGCAGUCCGGCAUGCAACCUUCCUCAACAGUCCUCCUCCUAGGGGGGUCUCCUUCUAGAGAUGAUGGAGAGUGAAACUCCUCCACAGAUCUCCCUGCCCGAUAAGGCAAACGACGUCGAGGUGUCAUCCAAGAGCAUCUCUCCCGAUCAAUAGAUGGCGCGAGGGGCAGCAAAGACCGUGCCCGAAGAUGACACUCCGGCCGCGCAGGGUUCGGGGUAUGCGGCCCCUACAGGGAACUAUAACAAAGGCCCCAGACUACUCAGCUUCCGAGGGAUGACGCAUUAUGCUACGGAUCCAGAGGCACCGGAUACUGUGACAGACACGUUGCGGCACGCGUCCGUCUCAGAGGAACAUCGUACCUUGAUGGUUACGGUGGUUGAAAGGGUUCGGUCCACAAAAGGCGUAUUGAAUGAAGCCUUUAUGAGCCUGCUCAGAGGCUUUGAGGUAUGUAAUGUAAUUUUUUGUGUGUUAUAAAUGCAAAAUGCACCUAUGUAUAGAUAGUAGCCCCUGAGACUCUGGUUGACAUCCAAAGGGAGGCGAUCAGAGGAUCAAGAAAAUAUAUGCCCAGGAAAUGAUCUGACUAAAUGAAACACAUGCCAUUACAUCCGUGGCAACUGCCCAAGCUACAAAGGUAGCACAUCUGAAGCAGAAAGUUGAUGUACCAGAUGAUGACAUCGCGCUUAUUAACAGGCGGCUCGAUGUGGCGCAAGGUAUGUCUUUGGGCCCCUCAGUACAUGCUAGUAUUAUGAAAUCAGUGUGACACUGAGAAUUUUAUAUGCAUAACUUCAGAUAGUGCCGCCGCAAUUGAGACCCGAAGAGGGUUGAACUUGCCCGGGCCAAGGAGCAAGCCAGGAUGAGUAAUGCGGCUGCCGAAAAGGCGGCUGCUGAAUUGAAGGCCGAAGAAGGUUGCCUGGCGCCAGUGUGAGUAGAGAAUAUCCACUAUGGCGCAAGAGCUAAAGGAUGCCGCUGGACGAUGCGAACUGCUCGAAAAAGAUAACCAAAACAAAAGUGGCUCAUCUUAACAAGGCCUUACAAGAGGCGAGAGAAGCGCGGUCUGAGUCAAGAGCGGCUUGGGAGGAGAUCCGACAAGCUGGGGAGAUCGCGGCUGGUAAGCCCUUCUUAUUGCAAACUAAAUUUGGCGAUCCAAAGUAUGCCCCGCUUAAUCAGGUGUGGAGUUCUCCAGAUGCAUUUUUGGACUUGCCGAAGAGUGUCUUCAAUGCGACGCGGUUUUUCCAAGCGCAAGAAGGACACGUGACGGAAAAGCUUUUCUGGUCACAAUUUAGCAUGCCAAAGCAUCCGUUGUUAUUGAACAAACAAAUGACCCUGUGGGCCGAGCUCCACAAGCUAUCUGGAUCUGCCAUGAGGGACGUCGUAGUCAGGCUGUGGCCGACUGAGCCAUUUCUGAAUAGUUAUUUCGGUUUGGUGCGGCGACUUGUUGAUGCGGUACCGCGUAUCGAUGUUGUAAAGCAGUCAACAUGCAUAGAAGGUGCGCGGAUGGCCCUUUCCCGUGUCAAGACAUACUGGGCGAAGAUGAAGGCCACCGAUGUUGCAGCAAAAAGUCCACCCGAGGGCAAGGACUAUCACGUGCCGGAACAUUAUUUUGAAGAUGUCCUAGAGGGUGCCCGCUUAAUAGAGGGUCAGUGCUCGAAAUAUAUUAUGUUCGAGUGAAGUUGUAUUGAAAUUGUAAAAACAAUAUUAUGAUAUAUUUAAGGCUAUUUUUGGUACUUUUUCCUAAAAAGUUUUGGUGCCUCUUGUGCGGCCGUUUUUAUAUAAUCUGAAAGUUUAUCAGUCGUCGGCUUCAGCCCCUCUUGCGUAUAACGCUGGGGUGUUCGGAAAAGCAUUUGAUCACUCUUGACCCAACGUCUUGGUCCAUUAAGGAGGUGUCAAUGCGGUGAACCAGGCAAUCGGACUAUAGGGCUUUAACACUUUCACUUAGCCAUAGGAGUUUGACGGUGGGUCUAAGAUAUAGCCCCUGGUACGUAUGCAGUUAUCCGAAUAUGGUGUGUUUACAUGCGUGACCACAAAAAUGGUCCUUCAUUAAUGCGGAAGGAAUCACGAAGAUUCCGCUGAGUCAUCGAGUGGUUGAACAGCUCUCGCCGCAUCAUGACAGUCAGUUUUCAGCUUUCUCUACUGAGUUGCUCAUCCGGAUGAACGAGGACACAAUCGCAGUAGUUCUCCCUUUACUACCCUAGCCGAUAGAGUGAAACGUAAGGUAGUAAGCACAGGAGUCGGGCAACCCAACUAUUGACCAAAUACAUGAUUCAGAGUUGAUGCAUAUAAGGCCAAACUCGCGACGCCGAACACUCCCUAUAGGUGUUCGGACUUUUCAAUAUAUACUGGGCUGAAUACAGCCCCUGGUAAUAGACCCUGGUAUCAAGGCACGCAUGGCAAUCUGACGCGGGGUAAGAACACAGGUGGUGAGAGAAUAAAUCUUAGAACACAAUACGAACCAAACUGCUUCUAUAAUAUCCACUUUUAGUAUGGCGAGCCGUAUACUUACAGAUAAUGCCGAUAUCUUCCUUGGACACUUUACAUGCCAGGGAAGUAUAAAACAAAAAGAGAUAAAAAGGUUUACACAGGGUCUUAAUCUAAAAACGAAACCUUAAUGCGGGGCCCUGCUGCACGACUCCAUCGUUUUCUCUGUUGUGAAAUGUCCUUGAAGGGUAUAGUGUGAUGGCCCACUGUAAAAAAGGGGAAAAGACCAGGUAAAAGAGUCUGGUGUGGCCGUAAGUAAAGCUGGUUCGUUUUAAUGAACCGUGAAAGAUAACUUCUAGAGUCCGAAUAGGGUCGAGCCGAACUAUGGACUUUUUGUGUGCAGUGUGCCCCCGGCGCUGCCCAAGGAAUUUUGAGUGUAUAUUUGUGUACACGUGGCACGUGUGCUAUCUCCUUAUGGGGCAGUCGAUGGGGGCUUAACUGCUAAUCGAGAUCGGGUUUAUCUGAGCUGCCGCGCUGAGGCAUGCGUCGGACACGUUUAGCUGUGUCUGCGGUCUUGACAACCGAUGAGCUGUUCGGCUUAAAUAGGUCAUUUUGGGCUUUGGCUGAUAGAGCCGCAGCGUACUCUUCUGUGCGAAGAGAGCGCUCCAUAUUUCCACUGACCGUAAUGAUGCCACGCGGUCCAGGCAUUUUGAGCUUUAGAUAGGCAUAAUGCAGGACUGCAUUGAAGCGAGCGAAGGCCGUUCUUCCGAGUAGUGUAUGAUAGCCACUUUGGAACGGAGCUAUGUCGAAGAUUAGUUCUUCGCUUCGAAAGUUAUCAGGAGAGCCGAAUACGACCUCCAAUGUCAAAGAGCUCGUGCAGCGGGCCUCUACGCCCGGUAUAACUCCUUUAAAGGUUGUGCUGCUUGGCUUGAUUCUUGACGGGUCUAUCCCCAUUUUGCGGACAGUGUCCUGAUAUAUCAAAUUGAGACUGCUGCCGCCGUCCAUAAGGACUCGAGUGAGAUGGUAUCCAUCGAUUAUUGGAUCGAGCACUAGGGCAGCCGAACCCCCGUGACUGAUACUAGUCGGAUGAUCCCUGCAAUCAAAGGUGAUCGGACAGGCCGACCAUGGGUUGAAUUUGGGGGCAACAGGCUCAACGGCAUAGACAUCUCGGAGUGCGCGCUUGUGCUCCCUCUUUGGGAUGUGAGUCACAUAGAUCAUGCUCACUGUUUUAAUCUCCGGUGGAAAUUUCUUCUGUCCCCUCGUGUUCGGCUGGCAAGAUUCGUCCUCGUCUUCGCUUUGAGAUCCCUUCCCCUUGUGCUCGGCAUUGAUUUGUCGGCCUGCUUGAAGACCAUCUGGCAGGGCAUGUCUAGAAUUUUGUCUAGGCUGGAUGGACCGUCUUUAUUGCCUUUAAAUGGCUUCUUCAGUUGACCGGGUAUGGGGCAACUGAAUCCGGCGUUUACCGUUGUAUUGUCUGGGCUUUCUUCAUUGUUUCGACGUUUGUUUUUGUUGCGUUGUGGCUUUCCAUUGCCAUCCCUGACCUCAGAUGUGCCAGGAUCUCACUAGUGCUGCUACGGGCUAACCAGCUGUCCUCACCCGCGCAAAAACGGGUCAUGAGUGUAGUUAAGGCUGCCAUUGUCCUUGGCUUUUACUGUCCGAGGUGUCUGGCUAGCCGUUCAUCCUGGACACUAUGUUUGAAGGCCGCUAAGGCUUUGGCGUCCGGACAAUCGACGAUUUGGUUCUUCUUAGUGAGAAACCGGUUCGAAAGCUUACGGGCUGAUUCUCUGGGUUGUUGGAUUAUGUGACUUAGAUCGUCUGCAUCCGAGGGCCGGACAUAUGUCCCUUGGAAAUUGGCUUGAAAAGCGUCCUCAAGUUCUUCCCAGCUUCCAAUGGAGUUUUCACGGAGGCUUUUCAGCCAGUGCCGAGCUGGUCCUUUCAGCUUGAGGGGUAAGUACUUGAUGGCGUGGAGAUCAUCUCCACGAGCCAUGUGGAUGUGAAGAAUAAAGUCUUCUAUCCAAACCGCAGGGUCUGUCGUUCCAUCAUAUGCCUCGAUGUUUACGGGUUUAAACCCUUCUGGAAAUUCGUGUUCCAGCACCUCAUUGGUGAAGCACAGGGGGUGUGUGGCACUCCUGUAUUUGGCUGUGUCGUGGCGUGGGUCCGACGGUUGUAAUGUUUGGUAUUGGUUCCGAACUAGUAAAUGACCGGCAUAUUUGGUUUGAUAACCAUGGUCCCGUGUAGGAGCACGUUCCCUGGAUCCAUAGAUGGACCUGGUUUUGCCAGCCUUUUUGUCCAGGUCCUCACGUAGAUCGUGUUCCUGGUCCCGAGCCACGGCCUCCUUUCCUUUGCAGGGAGGGGGUGAGGGCUUGUGUACGCCAUUGCUGGCCACUCUGUCUCAUCCACGAGGUGGACUGUCCGGCUUGUCGGGAGUAUUGUUUUUCGGUUGUAUAGGCGGAAUAGCCUCAUCGUCGAAUUCGGGCAGUAAUUUACGCUUAGGAUAGCCCUCUGUUUGGCGAUUGCAGCCAUAUUUUUCCUCGGCGUCUAGCACUUCGUUCCAUCUAUCAUUGAGUGUAUCAUGUGCGGCUUUUAGCUGCUGCUUCUGCUUCUUCAGGCUCCUCGCUGUGGCGAUAAGCCUCCGGUGGAGGCGCUUUUGUUCUAAGGGUUCUUCCGAGACGAUGAAUUUGUCGUCGCCCAGACUGACCUCCUCUUCGGAGACAGGUUGGUAAUUGGUAUCUUCGGCGUCGCUGUGGUCAGAUAGGGGUCCCGAAUUGUGUUCGCCGUCCUCUCGCUUGUCCUGCUCCAUUGCUGGAUCUGUGGGGUCCUCGGCUUGGUCCGGAUUAUCACCGUCGUUAGUGACAAUGUUGCUACCUUUUCCUUUGCCGGAUCGAGAUCGGUGCUUCUGAUGCCGAUGCUUAGGAGGUUCAUCGAUAGGCUUAUCAUUAUUGUCGUCGGUCUCCUUUUCUUUAAGUGCGUCCACCAUAUAUACCUCGUAUGAGGAUGUAGCCGUCCACUGCCCUGUGAGCGGUGGUUUUUGUGCCUGCUCCUCUCUGGCAUCGUUGUCCAUAUCAUUGAUGUCUUCGGAGCCGUAAUCGAACGUGUCAGUUAAGUCUUCGACAAUGGCUAUGAAGUGGGUGGUGGGUGGGGAGCGAAAUUCUCCGUUAUCGGCUUCUAAUUCAAGCCGGACCUAGUUCGGCCGGGAGUCCCCCGACAAGGAGAGGCAUUUCAAUGAGUUGAACACAUCGCCUAGAGGUGAGUGCUGGAAGAUGUACACAGAGCUGAACUCCAAGAUCGGCGCCCAAUCAGGUUCGAUGGACGCGGAUGCAAGCGGUCCAGAACCUAUGGCCGGAGACAAAUCCGAGGUUCCGGUGGCACAAGCCCAGCUCGAUGUUGGGUCUGUGUGCGGCUCGAACGCUGCUGAGUCUGCGGCUUCCGUGGUGGAGUUGAGCUUCCGUCCUCGCAUGGUGUGGUCUGCUCCGGAUCUAGGGCCAGAGCGGUUACAGGCGCUAUCUCAUGAGCGCGGUCCGAUGAUAGAUUUAGGUCAUGUUCAUCGUGGUGGCAGGGAACAGCCGUCAUGGGUUCGAAUCCGUCGAAGAUCAAGUCUCCGCGAAUAUCAGCUACAUAAUUCAGGCUUCCAAAUCUGACCCGAUGGCCAGGGGUGUAGCUAUCGAUCCGCUCUAGAUGGCCAAGCGAGUUAGCCUGCAGUGCGAAGCCGCCGAAUACGAAGAUCUGUCCGGGGAGGAAGAUCUCCCCCUGGACUGCAUUGUUGUAGAUGAUUGAUGGAGCCAUCAAGCCUUCUGGUGACGGUGCAGCGGAACUCUCAAUGAAAGCACCAAUGUCGGUGUCAAAACCGGCGGAUCUCGGGUAGGGGGUCCCGAACCGUGCGUCUAAGGCUAAUGGUAACAGGAGGCAGGGGACACGAUGUUUACCCAGCUUCGGGCCCUCUCUAUGGAGGUAUUACCCUACUUCCUGCUUGAUUGAUCUUGAUGAAUAUGAGUAUUACAAGAGUUGAUCUACCAUGAGAUCGUAAUGGCUGAAACCCUAGAAUUCUAGCCUAUGAUUAUGAUUGUAGUUGCCUCUACGGACUAAACCAUCCGGUUUAUACAGACACCGGAGUGGGCUAGGGUUACACAAAGUCGGUUACAGAGAAAGGAAUCUACAUAUCUAAAUCACCAAGCUUGCCAUCCACGCAAAGGAGAGUCCCAUCCGGACACGGAAAGAAGUCUUCUGUCUUGUAUCUUCAUAGCCCAGCAGUCCGGCCCAUGCUAAUAGUCCGGCUGUCCGAGGACCCCUUAAUCCAGGACUCCCUCAUGCCUUCCUGCCCAUGUAUAUAAAGGAGCAAGGGGGAGGCUGGCCGGCCCUCCAAGGGUGCGUCCCCAAUAGGGUAAUCCUACUAGGACUCCAAGUCCUAGUAGGUUUCCACCUAAAGGGAGAGAGGGGGGAAGGAAGGAGAGGGAGAGGGGGAAGGCAAGGGGGCGCCACCCCCCCCCCCCUUCCUUGUCCUAUUCGGACUCAAGGGGAGGGCGCGUGCGGCCUGCCCUGGCCAGUCCCUCUCUCUCUCCACUAGGGCCCAUCUAGGCCCAUUAGUUCCCCGGGGGGUUCCGGUAACCCUCCGACACUCCGGUUUUAUCCGAAACUUCUCCGGAACACUUCCGGUGUCCGAAUAUAGUCGUCCAAUAUAUCAAUCUUUAUGUAUUGACCAUUUCGAGACUCCUCGUCAUGUCCGUGAUCAUAUCCGGUACUCCGAACAAUCUUCGGUACAUCAUAUCACAUAAACUCAUAAUACCAAUCGUCAUCAAACAUUAAGCGUGCGGACCCUACGGGUUCGAGAACUAUGUAGUCAUGACCGAGACACGUCUCUGGUCAAUAACCAAUAGCAGAACAUGGAUGCUCAUAUUGGUUCCUACAUAUUAUAUGAAGAUCUUUAUUAGUCAAACCGCAUAACAACAUACGUUGUUCCCUUUGUCAUCGGUAUGUUACUUGCCCGAGAUUCGAUCGUCGGUAUCUCAAUACCUAGUUCAAUCUCGUUACCGGCAAGUCUCUUUACUCGUUCCGUAAUACUUCUUCCCGCAACUAACUCAUUAGUCACAAUGCUUGCAAGGCUUAUAGUGAUGAGUAUUACUGAGAGGGCCCAGAGAUACCUCUCCAAAACACGGAGUGACAAAUCCUAAUCUCGAUCUAUGCCAACCCAACAAACACCUUCGGAAACACCUGCAGAGCACCUUUAUAAUCACCAAAUUACGUUGUGAUGUUUGGUAGCACACAAAGUGUUUCUCUGGUAUUCGGGAGUUGCAUAAUCUCAUAGUCUGAGGAACUUGUAUAAGUCAUGAAGAAAGCAGUAGCAAUGAAACUGACACGAUCAUAAUGCUAAGCUAACGGAUGGGUCAUGUCCAUCCCAUCAUUCUCCUAAUGAUGUGAUCCCGUUAAUCAAAUGACAACACAUGUCAAUGGUUAGGAAACAUAACCAUCUUUGAUUAAUGAGCUAGUCAAGUAGAGGCAUACUAGGGACUAUAUGUUUUGUCUAUGUAUUCACACAUGUACUAAGUUUCCAGUUAAUACAAUUCUAGCAUGAAUAAUAAACAUUUAUCAUGAAUUAAGGGAAUAAAUAAUAAUUUUAUUAUUGCCUAUAGGGCAUAUUUCCUUCACUACCACCGAACUCCAAGUGGUACUACCACCCGAGGGUCCGGUACUACCGCCCUGCCUGCGCACAGCGUCUCUGGGCCGAGGCCCAUGUACUUGUUCCGCCCUUUACUUACCCCUUCAUGGCCCUAGACUAUAUAUACUCCUCCACCUCCUAUGUUUUAGGGUUAGCAUUGGUUUAGCUCAUAUUUGAGAUAGAGCUUUGCUCAUCCACUUGGUUACUUCUCCAUCAGAGUUCACAACCUCUUCGGAGAAGAUCCCCCAAGCGAAUUCAAGACCCCAUCACGGGAAGACCCUUCAAGACCUCCUCACGGAGAAGACCUUUGUAUCGUCCUUUGUUGACUUUGGAUCGUGUAUCACUCUUUGUGUUUCGAGGAUCUAGCAUAUGUGUGACCGAAUCUUGUUGGUUUGAGUGAUUCUCUCGUGUUUCCCCUCAUGAUUUCUCCUCGUGUUCUUCAUGUUCUUCGUAGGAUCCCCUCCAAUCAUGAACGAUCGGGCAUCUAGGGUUCUAGCCUACAUCACACUUCCAAAAGAAAAUAUAACAACAUGUAAAUCAAAUGUACCAAUUGACAGGCGCAGGAAGUUGUGAACCAGCCGAAAGCUACAUCCGGCCGGGGACGGUAAUUGACUUUGACAAUGGUGAUUAUAAUGAAUUUACCACUCAUACCCAAGUUCAGGGUCUCGAGAUGGGUGAUAACCCUACAUUCUACUGCUAAGAUAUAUUGAUACAAGGGGUUCACCAAGUACAAGAGCUAGAUUGCAUCCACAAAGGUUGGUCUUGCAAGAAUGGCCCACUCUUCGACAAGGAUCUCCAGGAAGCAUCUUCCUUAGUAGAUAGUCGUCAAUUUUCAACACGAUCGUAGCUCUAGCCAAACUAUAACGAGCUUUUCUUAGCAGUAGGUCUAACGAGCUAGACCACUCUUUACAAAAAAAAGAUGAGGUAGGCCCCACUUGCUGCGGUGGGCUUCAAUGUCGUGGGUUUCCUAGAGAAGCCACCUUUGGGUUGGGCAUACUAGGGUUUUGUAGCGUGUUCAACAAAUUGACUUUUUUUCUACAACUGCACAAGGUUCGCGUAUCAUUUCAUUCAUAGGUAAGAGAGAACAACAAUCGCAUCAAGAAGAGAGAAAGGGGGCAUCAUACUAGGUGUGGGAAGAGUCGAACAAGGGAUGCAACACAACACUAAACUCACCUAGCAAGAAUUCCAGCCAAGGAAGGCGAGGAGACGAGACACAAGGCACCUAGACCGCAUCAUAACAAAUGCGAGGCCCCUGCUUCGCACCGCUAUGACUCGAGGACUGACUGGAUGAACAUACCCCUCACCUUAAGCACCUAGAGGAGUCGACAAGUGGGUUGCGGGACUAGGCCGGGCUGGAAGGAGAAGCCGUGGAGGAAGCGCCAACAAUGUCAUACAUUGCGCCCCUGGAUGUCCAUGCCCUGGGAAGCAACCCGAAGAAACACGGCGUCCAACAUCUCCAAAUUCAACACCGGGCCCGCUGCGAACAACCAAGAUAGCGCCUUCGCAAAGGGGACAAUGUCGUGUCGCCGCCAUCCAAUCUGGUGAACCAGAUCUAGGGUUUUCCCCGGUGCUCAAAGAGGGGCACGGAGAAAGGCCAUGGUAGUGCCUCCAGAAGGGGGACAACGACAUCCUCAAGUGUUGUCAUUGCCAGCAUCGGCAAGCCUAGCAGAGAUUUCAUCCCGGGCAUGUGACCCAAAAUUCCCAAAAGCCAAGCAAACCGACAUUGGAGGUGGUUUUGCUUCAUGUUUUUGUUUCGAGAAUAUUGGGCGCACCUACGAAGAUCUCCAGGAGACUUGUUUUCGUGCAGUAACAAGCAUUUGCAGGCCAUGAUUCUUUUUUUCUGCUUUAUGUAAUUGGUUGUUUCUCUUUGGCAUUCUGACAUCAUUUUUUAUUCUAGAAAUGUAAAAAACUGACGUCAGAUUUUUAAUCACCGCAAAUAAAACUUUUUUUAUGACAAAUUAAGUUUUCGCGAGGAUGGCAAUUCCUUUUAGUAAGCAUGGUAAAUCCUGGCAAAAAAUUGAACAUGCCUAGGACUUGUCAUGCUUACUAAAGAAAAUUGUCAUCCUCGCGACAACUUAACUUGCCAUAACAAACUCGAUUUGUAGUGAAAUGCUUUUAUUUUAUUUUAAAAAAAGUGUGCAUCUUUCUUUUUGACAGCUCGAUGACGCUAGUGUGCAUCUAUAACUGGUGCAGAUCUAUGUUGGCUAAUAAAGCUUCUAUUUUAUUAAAAAAUAAUCAAACGUACAAGCAAAGCAACUGCAAGUUUGCAAACCAUCAACAGAUCAUGGAUCUUUCCUUCAGCAUACGCACAUGCAACAACAAAAAGUUUGGGCAAGUGACAGUUCUGCUUCCUCUUCCACACAGAGCUGAUCCACAAACGCUCACACAGCUCUAGGACUGCCAUUGCGCCACAGCACCAGAACUUUUCAGCCUGGACACCUGCGCCACACAAACCCCCACCAAUAACAACCGGAAGAUAACAGAAAAAGAAAACAAAAACAAAAAAAGAAAGCUCCAAGCCUACCUCUAGAGGAAGAAGCAGCAGUGGCAGCGGCAGCAAUGGCAGCAGCCGCUCUCCAGUGCUGCCCUCUGCUGAGCUCACCGCCGGCAUCAUCCGUCUUGCCGCCUUCCUCUAUAAAAACACUGGCGGUUAGCAGGAUAGGGGAGGCCAGGAGGAGGAGGCUGCAGCGAUGUCGCUGUUCCCAGUCUGCCGAGGGGCGAUCACCGGGUAGCUCGCCUCCGCAGCUGGAGCGCCUCUUCUCCAAUGUCAACAAGGCAACCAUGAAGCACGAGCCAGGUAACCAUGCUCGGAUCAUGCAGUCUGUUGCUUUGCCGAGCUUUCUUGCGCGUUUUUGGCCUUUGGGGCGCACCUGAUGGGAUUGUCUCUGUUUUUCGCUUGGAUGUGCCAGGGAGUAUCACCAGUUCCAUCUUCCUUGUGGCAGGCACAACGGUAACGUUUUCCUUUUUUUCUUACCGCCCUUGAAGUAAUGUAAGACCUGAAAUUUUGAUGUCAGAUUGCUUAGUAGGCUGCAGGUAAAGGCUUUUUUUAAAUGCAAUGCGCCUGUCGAGAAUCAGUGAAAUGUAAAAGACCACACGACAGAGAUCAGAUAAAACAUUGAGGACAACAACCCUGUCUCACGAAACUAGCAUUGCAAGCCAAAAAAUCCACAAGGAAUAAUACUACGCACCUUGUGUGUGCGUGCGGUUUGAACUUGUGUUGGCCCUUGUAGCUGUGGUGGUUUGCUUUAUCUAUAAAGCGGAGCGAAAGCCUUUUUCGGUAAUAAUACUACGCACCUUGACACAUCAGUAGCUUUGCGACAAAACUCAAUCCAUAGCAGCAUUAUUUCACACAUGUUAGAAACUACGUACUUGAGACAUCCCUUUGGAGUAAACAUAUAUUUCAGGAAUAGUUCGGAGUAAGAAAAGGCUUAUUAUGUUACAUAACUAACCUUCCUUUUCAUCAAUGUUGGUGCCAUAGGUCGGGGCAGGUAUCCUUGCGAUCCCUGCCGUCACACAGGAAGCUGGAUUCUUGGCCUCAGCGGUCACAUGCAUUUUCUGCUGGGCAUAUAUGGUAAUAGAAUGUCAAUUGACUGGGUAAACUAUCAAACCUGAUGUGUUAGAGGUGACAUGCAGUCAGAGAAGCCUCUCAAAGGUAAACCCUUUUGCAUUGCGCUUUCCUGGAUAAAUUCUCGUCGUAAAGAAUAUUUGCUUGUUGUGUGUGUCACCUGAUACGGGAGGGUUUGAUAGUUUCACCCAUAUUUUGUCGAAUUCACUUACUUGUCUGCACUUACAGUUUUCGUUUGCCAUCGCUUUCUCCAGGUUGUAACAGGGCUGUUAGUUGCUGAAGUAAAUGUCAAUACAAUGUGUGAGCUAGGAUCUGGAGGUGUCUCCCUGGUAGUUAACGCGUCACUCCAUUGCUGAUUUCCUGAUCAAAGUUUCUAUUAGAGGCAAUUAAAAUGAAUCUACGAUUAUGUGAUUUAGCUAAAAAGUGGCAUAUGAUAGGAGGUUGAUCCAAUAUCACCUAGUGCUUGGAUAUAUUUCACCUGAACACAAGAUAGAAAUGAAUUAAGACUGGCAAAAGAUAGAGAAUGAUACACGCUCCAAAUACCAGAAAGUGCUCAAUAAUGGGUGGGAUGUUGCACCUAUCCAUCUAUGAUAUGUAUUUCAUUCCUUGUAUAUUUUGCAUCUUGCGUGGUUGAAAGUAGCAAGCAUACUCUCUGAAGGCUCUCUUUUUCCAGGUUUCAAUGGCUAAGCGCACUCUAGGGACAGUUGGAGUAAGAACAGCCUGGUAUAAUAAAUUCUUAUGUAUAUAAGAACUCCAAAUCAUAAUAUACAUUGAUAUGAACAUCAUAAUGGGAUUCAUAUCACUAUGUAAUACACUCAGUUACAAAUUCCUAUUUGAACUGGAGAAUUUUGACCAUAAUUUCUAUGUGCCUGCAGCUUUUCAUAUUUGUUUAUACAUUAUGCACUUCUUGUUGCGUAUGUGGCACGCUCUUCAGAGAUCUUAACAAACUCAUUGGGCAUUCCAUUGUAUGACCUCUUUCCAUGAUCUUCAUUUUAUUAGCCAAUACAUUUAUUUUCCCAGCUUUUGUUGUAAAGAUGACGUAUUCAUCUUACUAGUGUAUAGAGAUGUAGUGUCUAUUAUAUGCUUUACCUUUGUGUUGUAACCCCAGAAAAACAAAAUAUCAGGAGCUUGCAUUAUGUGAGAAACAACUGCUAUGGAAUUUAAUCAAUUUACACUAGUCGGUACUUCUACAAUCCACAUAAAUAUUUUCCUGCAUGUAGGUUCUACGUAGCAUUUACUAACCAUCAUUGGUCAUCAUCAUGCAUUUGAUUUAGUGUUCAGUAAUUUCUUUUCUUCAACCAUUGAUGACGUCAGUAUGCUUACAGAUGGGAGAGUGCCACACUAUUUUCACUGGCUUUUGGGGGUUUAUGCUACUUCGGAAGGUAUUUGAGAAAUGUUACUGCAUCAUAUUAGAUGAUGCACUUCCAGUAAUAGCAAACAAAAUUGUUCAAGCAGAUGUUUCGCUUUUUUAGUUCCAUGCUACUUAACUUCAGGGUUCAUCACAAGAUAUUUUCAAAUUAUGUUAUGGGAGCUCCUGACUACAUCCAGUGUAGCUUCAAGUCUACUACUUUGUACUCCCUCCGUUCCUAAAUAUAAGCGUUUUUAGAGAUUCCAAUAUAGACUACAUACGGAGCAAAUUGAGUAAAUCUACACUCUAAAUACAUCCGUAUGUUGUCCCUAUUGAAAUCUCUAAAAGGUCUUAUAUUUAGAACGGAGGGAGUAACCAUUAAGGGUUAACUUCAUUCUCGAUUUGCAAAACAAAUGCAUAUGCAAUUAUUAAGGUUCACAAAAGAGGAUAGUCUAUCAUAUAGCAGAUAUUAUAGAAAUUUGUUAUAUAGAAUUUAUUUUAUAACAGAUAUUGCAUUAAGGCUAUUUCUUACUGAUAUUUGUUAUACAGAAAUUUCUGUCCUAAUGUCCCUAAUUACUUAGGAAAUUUAUUAUAUAACAUGGUAUGCCAUGAAGUCACAAUUGUUGAAUACUUCUUUCAGAGAUUAUAAGCAGUAAAACUAAUCUUCUUGAUGGCUGCAGUCAGAGAGUCAUUGGUGCCGUGAAUGGCUUUUUGGUGUUCAGUAUCAUAACAUCCUUCACAGCUCUUGUGGUAAGUGGAGUUCUACAUUAACCCGUCAUAAAUAUUUGAAACCUUGAUGAUCCUAGGCUUUUAGCAGUCGACAAAGAGAAUGAAACAUGACUACAUUUCCUGAAAAUAACUUACAAGCCUACAAAUUUUGGUUGCAAAAUACUCUGUUAGUGAGAUAAAAAUUUAAGACAGUCCAAGUGUGCACGUACAGUAAGCUACAUGAGCGUAAGUGUAUAGGUCCAAAUCCUCAAUGCUUAUAGAUAAACAGGUUCUAUUUGACAGGAAAUAUUGCCAUUCUUUUAGUACCCAGUAAUAGUUGUUGGAAUACAGAAAAAUUAUGUCCGGCGAGUGACGACAAAGAUAACAUGAGCAACCACUAGGAAAUUUCUUUCGCGUAAGGUACAUCCUACAACAAAGUAUAGACACUGAACAAACGGGUGUGACCUUCACAGGUGGUGGCAAGUGGAAACAUACAGUGGAGUUCUCUUCUCGAAACGAAUUUUGCUGCUGCUCCCCAAAGUAUACCAAUAAUUGCUCUUUCAUUCGUAUAUCAGGUAAUCUCGCUUACCAUAUUCACGUCGAAAAAUUAAUCUUCUUGGUAUUUGACUGAGUAUAUUCCUGAUUCCUGAACAGAAUGUAGUUCCUGUUCUGUGUACAAAUUUGGAGGGAGACCUAUCAAAAGUAAGGUAAGGUUGUGAAGAUAAAUGUGUACACUACCUGCAUAAGUACAGCAGUUGUUACUUGUGACAUCAAAAGGAUAGACAGAGUUUUCAGACUUACAGCAACAGAGCAAUAUAUGCCUUCUUUCGAGAAAACAUAAGAUCUUGAAGAACAAGAAAAUUUUCUCAUUAAAAAGGGACAGACAUAUUUAUGUUGGACCGGUCACGCUACUAUAUCCUAAGUUGGUGACUUCCAGAGGCAUAUGAUAAUCUUACUGAAUCUUGCAGGAAGGCCAUUGUGUUAGGUACUGCCAUACCCCUUGCUCUGUUUCUCAUAUGGGAUGCUGUCAUCCUGGGGACAAUCCCGGGGUUUGCAGAAAGUGGGACUAUUACUGAUCCAUUACAACAACUUAGGUCAAGCAAUGGUACAGUGGGGGUAAGUAUUUUUCAAGAUGUUCUUAUGAUGUGCGAUAAAUGGGGAUUGAUUUGAAACACCUUCUUAUUUGCAGCCUAUCGUUGAGGCAUUCUCAUUUUUGGCAAUAGGCACAUCAUACAUUGGAUUUGUUCUAGGACUCUCAGACUUCAUCGCAGACUGUAAGUAUCUUCUUCAGUCCAGACUCCAGAGCAAUCAUAUUUUUGAGCUAGGAAGAGGUCUAGAGCUUACUGCUAUUAAUUCAUUAUCCUUCUCUUUUUUGCUUCUUCUAUACAACUUUGCAGUGCUCAAACUACCAAGUGGACAGAACAAACCUCUGACGUACCUUGUAACUUUGUUCCCUCCGCUUGUUCUGUCACUGCUUGAUCCAGAGAUAUUUUUCAAGGCAUUGGACUUUGCAGGAACUUAUGGAGGUAAGGAUGCUUUUACAGUAUCUCUAGUCCCAAUGAGAAAUACUGGACUCCUUGCAGGCUGCAGACACAAAAUAAUAUACUGAUAUAGAAUAGCAGAACAUUUCAUAUGGUCUGCUACAAUCUACUGCAAUGACCUUUUAUGAAUAGGAAGUGCAGAAUAUUCGUAUGAUUCACUUAUUGUUGAAAUAUUAGAUUUGUUACUUGGAGAAAUGAACUGAUCCCUUGCAUGUAUUCUUUUCAGUUCUGGUACUCUUUGGAGUUUUCCCUGCAGCCAUGUCUUGGUCAGAGAGAUACUCAAAUGACUUGGAAGCUCCUAUAUCCCCCAUAGUCCCAGGAGGGAAAUUAACCCUCUCAUUUGUUAUGGGGGGCGCCUUGCUUGUAAUAUUUUCGGAGAUUUUCAAGGACAUAAUGCAGUUACAAGGACUACAUUGACAAUUACGACGUGCAAAGUUCCACUACUGAUGCUUCUGCAGAUUUUUGUGCAAUGUAUUAACACACCCAAAAGAGACUAAUCUGGUAUUUCUAGCUUUUCUUAACCCCUUUGCGGUUUCAUCAAGAUAUUCAGUCAAGUUGAGUUGUGUUGUACAUAUUUACAUGUGUGCAAAUGAAUAACUGAAUGAUUUCAUUAGCUCGAUUGGAGUUCACGAUGUUUCUUGACUUGUUCGGGUACGCUAUCAAGACUUUUGAACUUAUCCCCAGACUACACACAUUGACUCAGACAACUGUGCAAGGGCAUAUCCUACUAAAGAGUAAACAAGAACUAGCAAGCAGAAGCUCACAAUGAGAAAAACAUACUGUAUACCACUGCCACUGUGCCAGAGUUUAACUGAUUCUCUUCUACCAAAAAUCAUUGCAAGAACAAGUUCCCCCUCUAAAAUGAUGGAACCUGGCUCUAUCACGAACCACAAUUUCCCGUUGAUAGAUCUUGGACACUAGCUUAGCAAACUUGUGGCAAUCCAUGCAAAAGCGGAGAUUUUUGACAAUUCUGAUUGUAGCAUCUGGAGGUCCUCCAAUGAGCCCAAACGCUAUUGCAAGCUUCUCACUGUGAUGUCCAAGCGCCUGCUCUUUCUCUUCAUCUUCAAUGUCAUAGAACACCUCAGUGAUCUCUGUGACAUGACCUUGCUGUUGCAUCCUUCCACCAAUCUCAAUCAGUUUUGCAUGAAUGUCAUCAUAUGAUGGAUGUGACUUGUCACCUGAAAUGAAUUCAUGGAUGGAACCAUCCAUCUCAACCGAGCUGCAACCAGGAAUCUUCUCGAUCCCCUUGCUUCUCAUGGUCCUCCGAACAUCUUCAACGCCAUUCCAUCUCCCUACUGCAGCAUAGAGAUUGGACAGGAGCACAUGGUCUCCACUGCAGGUUGCUGCCAUUUCAGUUAUGACAAUUUCAGCCAUCUUGACAUUCUUGUGGAGCCGGCAUCCACCAAGCAAUGCCCUCCAGAUGACAACAUCUGGCUUCAUUGGCAUCUCUGUAAUGAGCUUGUGUGCCUCUUGUAGAUGACCAGAUCGGGCAAGGAGAUCAACCAUGCACGCAUAGUGCUCAAGGAUUAACCCUAUGCCAUACUUCUUGGAGAUCAUGUUGAAAUGCUCCCUACCUGCAUCCACAGAUCCACCAUGGCUGCAUGCCAAGAGGACUCCUACAAAGGUCACUUCAUCCGGUACCACUCUUCCGUCAAGCUCCAUUUGGCGAAACAUGUCCAACGCCAUUGCUGAGUAGCCAUUCAUGGCCAAGCCAUUGAUCAUGGCAUUCCAGGUACAUGUGUUCCUCGCCCUCAAGCUCGCGAACACCUCCAACGCAAGCUCCACAGCGCCACACUUGGCAUACAUGUCAAUAAGCGCCGUCCCCAGGAACUCGUCCCACCGGAGCCUGUUCUUCUCUAUGAACACAUGGACCCACUUCCCUGUCUCCAACGCACCGGCGCUCGCGCAGGCUGACAGCGCGCUGACAACAGUCCCACGGUUUGGCACGAACCCUUCCUUCAUCAUCCGCCCAAAGAGACAGAGAGCCUCGACGGGCUGCCUGUUCCCGACGUGCCCAGAGAUCAUGGCGUUCCACGAAACCAGGUCCCUCUCCGGCAUCUUGUCGAAGACGCGCCUCGCCGACCCGACAUCCCCGGCGCGGCAGAGGCCGGCGACCAUCGACGUCCACGUGACGGGCGUCGGCGCCGGGACCUGCUCAAAGAGCCGGCACGCCGAUGCGACGUCGCCGGACACCGCGUAGCCGUGGAUCAUGGAGUUGAAGGAGACGGUGUCCUGGCGCGGCAUUUCGGCGAACACCCUGCGCGCGUCGGUGACUCGCCUCGUGGCGCAGUACCCCUGGAUGAAGCCAUUGGUGACGCGCGUGUGGGCGAGGAACCCGAGCUUGAUGUAGACGGCGUGGAGGCUGGGGAGGCGGCGAGAGGAGACGGAGGCGGCGGCUUUGAGGAGGGAGAGGAAGGUGUGCUGGUUCAGGCGGGACAGCUGCAUGCGUACGCGUUUGCUAUUGGCUUGUACAGUACUAGUUCAUGGUGUGUGUGUGAGAGAGGCCUUGAGCUUUUAUGGCUGGCUUGUUUGGAAAAGGAAAUUUAGAAAAUGCAAGAACAUGAAACUAAGUGGAUUAUGUUUCAAGUACUCCUGCUUUAUUGAUGCAAUAUGAUAUGGGGCAAUGAUAGGCGCCGGUUGACCGGCCCAAACCGCGCAGCCGUCCGAUUUCCCUAUUUACAGCUGUUAGAUUUGACGCUUUCCCUCGAGUCAUCGUCUUCCUUGCAUUGCCUGAGAGAGAAAAAGGGGGGACAUCCCCACGUGCGCUCCCCACGCGCAUAGCUCUGCCCGCCGCACGUCACUCGCCAGAGCUCCACCGGUCGCCGCCUCGCUUCGAAGCCCGAAUUCGCCACCGUCGCACGCCUUCUCGUCUUGUCGUCGUUCCAGCACCGCCCUUCCCCGGAUGCAGCUCUGCCCAACACCGGUUCCAGCAACUCGCAGUGAUGAUCAUAGCACGGCGCCGCUGUCUUUGGCUCGCCGCUGUCGCUGACCUGCACCAUCAUGUUCCAGCGAAAAAACAUAUCUCAGCUGAAAAAAGCUCUGGUGUUCAGUUGCAGCAAAACCAAAAACUGGUUCCAGCAGAAAAAAAUGUGGUUCCAGCAAAACGACCUGAGAAACUGCGAAACCAGUAAAAUGGGUUGAAGCAAAAAUUUAUUCCGAUUCCAGCAAAAAAUUAUCCUGAUUCCAGCAAAAAUUUACUUUGGUUCCAACAAAACGAUCUGAGUAACUGGAAACUCCGGUAAUCAUUUGAAGCAAAAAUUUAUCUAGUUCCAGCAAAAAUUAAGUACAGUUCCAGCAAAAAUGAACUCAACAACUAGAAAUCCGAUAAUAGUUUGAAGCAAAAUUUACAUCGGUUCUAGCAAAAAAGAACUUAAGUUCCAGCAAAAAACAGAUCAGCAAAACAACCCAGCUUGCAGCUCCCCAAAAACUCCGGUCACUGCUCCGGCACCAACGGAUGCAGCUCUGCCGUUGAAAAGGUGCGGCUGAUUCCAGCUUCCUAUUCCCGGUUGCUUCUUGCCGCCGGCGGUCGCCGUUGGAUGCAUCCCUCCUAGCCGUUGGAUGCACCUCCAAACUGAACGGUUGCAGCUCCGGCGACGCUUGAUGCAGCUCCGGCGACGGCUAGGAGGGAUGCAUCCAACGGCGACCGCCGGCGGCAAGAAGCAACCGGGAAUAGGAAGCUGGAAUCAGCCGCACCCUUUCAACGGCAGAGCUGCAUCCGUUGGUGCCGGAGCAGUGACCGAAGUUUUUGGGGAGCUGCAAGCUGGGUUGUUUUGCUGAUCUGUUUUUUGCUGGAACUCAAGUUCUUUUUUGCUAGAACCGAUGUAAAUUUUGCUUCAAACUAUUAUCGGAUUUCUAGUUGUUGAGUUCAUUUUUGCUGGAACUGUACUUAAUUUUUGCUGGAACUAGAUAAAUUUUUGCUUCAAAUGAUUACCGAAGUUUCCAGUUACUCAGAUCGUUUUGUUGGAACCAAAGUAAAUUUUUGCUGGAAUCAGGAUAAUUUUUUGCUGGAAUCGGAAUAAAUUUUUGCUUCAACCGAUUUUACUGGUUUCGCAGUUUCUCAGGUCGUUUUGCUGGAACCACAUUUUUUUCUGCUGGAACCAGUUUUUGGUUUUGCUGCAACUGAACACCAGAGCUUUUUUCAGCUGAGAUAUGUUUUUUCGCUGGAACAUGAUGGUGCAGGUCAGCGACAGCGGCGAGCCAGAGACAGCGGCGCCGUGCUAUGAUCAUCACUGCGAGUUGCUGGAACCGGUGUUGGGCAGAGCUGCAUCCGGGGAAGGGCGGUGCUGGAACGACGGCAAGACGAGAAGGCGUGCGACGGUGGCGAAUUCGGGCUUCGAAGCGAGGCGGCGACCGGUGGAGCUCUGGCGAGUGACGUGCGGCGGGCAGGGCUAUGCGCGUGGGGAGCGCACGUGGGGAUGUCCCCCCUUUUUCUCUCUCAGGCAAUGCAGGGAAGACGAUGACUCGAGGGAAAGCGUCAAAUCUAACAGCUGUAAAUAGGGAAAUCGGACGGCUGCGCGGUGACCGGCCCAAAUUUGGGCCGGUCGACCGGCGCCUAUCAUUGCCCCUAAUAAUAACAUAUAUUUUACAAAAGAAUAAGUCUUGAGAUUAGUGUAAUGAAAUUUCUUAAAAUUACUAUCAUGAAGUUUUUGUGUUUUUAGUAAAGAAAAACAACAAGAAAUAUAACGAAAUUCUCUCAAUAUUUUUACAUAAUUUCCCAGGAGUCAGUAUAGUAAUUUUUUUUAUUUCCCUGGAAAGACAUAGAUUGUGGAAUUUGUACCAUGACUUUUCCAAGAAUUAAAAUCAUAUAACUGAAAUCCACCAUUUACUUCUAUUUUCUCAUAAUGAGAUUCUCAGUUUUUAUAGAAGACAGAUAAUUUCACAGAACUUUUUUCCACAUUUCCUAAAUCUUGGAAAUGAUUUAAAUCCAUUAAACAUAUUUUUCAAAAGUUGAAAUGAUUCUUAAAAACUUGGUAAAAACAUAAUUGUUUUAAAAAUUCUUAUUAAUUAUUCACUAGUCAGACAAUCUGAAUAUUAUUAGAUGUGUUGUAAACGUGAGGCUCAACAAAAUCUGCAUGCACGUUGGGCCACUGUCACAUGUCAUUCAAGCCACCCACAAUAACGCAUUUAUUAUCCUCAGAGAUCAUUAAGAGUGUUCAGAAGGAUACAACCAUAUACUUCUCUUAAAGAAAGAUAUUCAUCGUCCUAAACUAAAGAAUACACCCAAACUAAUAUAACGACACGAAUCCCUAUGCUUCUUUAAUGGUGAGAUAUUAUAGAGGUGAGUCGCCGAGUGCUCCUAUGCAUUUUCGUUCUCUUCCUUCUUUGUCUCUCAAAUAAGGCCACCUUUAACACGACUCUUAAAACCAACACUUGUCCGCCGACUGAUCCGCGGAUGUAGAUACAAAAUUCGACCAUCCAACCAUAUACCCUAAAGGUUUGUCCCUGUUUUUUUAAGUCCACAACACUGAAAAUAAUUACAGAAAAUAGCACAAUCCAUCUAUAAAUAACUUGCAAAUAUUUCUAGUACAACAAUACUUCAGUUAGAAUCGUCACAAGACAUAACCAAAUAUUCAAUAAGUUUUUUGAAGUCAUCGAUUUCAAAUUCAACAAAUACUCCAAUUAGAAUCGUCACGAGUUCUCCCACACAUUGUUGCCCUUGAGUUUUAUCCAACAAUACAAAUGUAAAUGGCCCCCCUUUGUCACGCGCUAACAUUGAGCGAGUGAAUCAAUGAAUUGACCAGAACGCUGGGGAAGUGAGGGUUGACCUCAGUUUUAGGUUCAACCCCAAGAGCUAAAUCCGCACCGGCGGGAGAAACCAUAUUUUGAGCAUAAGUGUCGCCAUUAUUAUUUCUUUCCCAAAAAGAUAUACUAUUAGAAACUAUAGCACGGUGUAGUAAUAAUUGCUAAUAAACAAAUUUUGCUCCAGUUGACAUGCUAAUAAACCGGAAAUCAUCCAUCCACACACGAUGUGCAAUCCCGCACGACCAUUGCUGUGAGCAGCUCAGACGACGGCCUUGAGCUUCUUGGCGAUGCCGGCGAAGUACUUCCCCUGGUGCGCCGCCAAGGCGAGCUCGGCGUCGGUGGGCGUCCUACUGCCAUCGGCGCCGGCGAAGGUGCCAGCCCCGUACGGGCUGCCGCCCUUGACCUCGUCCAUGGCGAACAUGCCGGCGCCGUGCGUGUAGCCGACGGGCACGAAGAUCAUGCCGUGGUGCGUCAGCUGCGUCACGGCCGUGAGGGCCGUGGUCUCCUGACCGCCGCCCUGCGUGCCCGUGGCGAAGAAGACGCCAGCGGGCUUGCCGGCGAGGGCCCCCUCCUGCCAGAGGCCGCCGGUGGAGUCAAAGAAGGCCUUCAUCUGCGCCGCCAUCAUGCCGAACCGCGUCGGGAAGCCGAACAGGACGCCGUCGGCCUCGGCCAGCUGCCGCGCCGUUAUGACGGGGUGGUCCUCGCGCCCCGGCGCCGCGUGCAUCUUCCCCAGCACCUCCUCCGGUAGCGUUUCCGGCACCCGCCAGACGGUGACCUCGACGCCGGGCACGGAGUCGGCGCCUUUCUUGAUCUCCUCCGCCAGCGUGGCGACGUGCCCCCAUGUCGAAUAGUACCUGAAUGAUAAACGAAAAAUGGAAUAACAAUCAAAUCAUUGAGCUAACCAGCCGGAAGAAGAGAAGAGCGGAGCAGAGGGCGGAGCAUUACACGAUGUAGAUCUUGGUCGCCAUUGCCGAUCGGUGUAGAAUUCUGCUGUGCACGUAGAACUGAUUUGCUUUGGAAAUUGCUUUGCUUCCUCUUGCGGUAUGGGUGGCUGGUGAAGGAAGAAGGCGGGCAGGCUCCCGUAUUUGUAGGGGAAGCUGGAGCCUUGUAGAUUUUCCGAUUGUUAAUUUGGCGUACUUGCGGUCGCAUUCUUGCAGAUUAUUUAAAAGGGUUCUUGGAAAAAGAUGCUGAUCCGAUCAUCGCCAGGGGCUGCUAUGAGUCUUGUCACCUUGUGUAGUGGGUAUAAAAAAGUGUGGCCGGACUCUGAUGAACGUGGCGUGGGGUAUACUACGUGGUCAUGGCGUCGACACUGACGUGCUACGUAUGUAGAUAUGUAUCGCCAUAGUGGAUGCUUUUCUCGCGGAAGAACGGCGAUGGAGUCAGCGAGGAAGCUUCCUGCAGGUCUGAAAGAAAAAGAAUAGGCAGAUAUAGAAUCGAAAAUACACGUUGGGACAUGGUGCAUGCCAGACAAGGAUUAUAUGCAUUUUCAUAGUAUUAUAACUAACUUCAAACCCCUCAGAUAGUUUUAGGAGUUGUGGGGGUAAUUUUACUUAUUUGCAGUCCUAUAAACCUCCACCUGUGCAAUGCCCGUUAACUCUAUAAAUGAUCCUCCAUCCGUGUAGCAUCUCUCUUUUGCUAAUCGCUAUGGGUGUGGCCAGUUCUCAGUUGACUGAGACUUACGAAGUCUCAAUCAAAUGACAAAAGUUAUAAAAUAAGAAGAAGAAAAUUAAAAGAAAAUUUACACGGAUCUUCACAUAAAAUCUCAAGAAUAUAGCAUUGAUUAAGACUUCGUUAAGUCUCAGUCCACUGACUUAUAGCAAUCCUGAAUCGCUAUUAAGGAGAAAAUUGUUAGGGUCUCGUCCCCCCUGAAUCGUCCCUACAAGGUGAGGUCGUGGGUAUCGAUUCCCUUGCCGCUGAACGAGGAGAACAAACACGGGGAGUCCCGAUCCAGGUCUCGGCAGCUUAAUGCUCGUGCUCGCCGUGAGGGUGUCCCUCCGCCCCAGCAACACCAUCCAAUUCAGGGCCACGAGUUGCAUGCAACCAUGCCCUUUCGUUAUCAUGAUCACAAUCAGCUUAUUCGUGCUCCCGAAGCCUUGGAGUACACAAUUGUACACAAGAGAAACAUAGUGUUAAUAUUUACUAGGUUAACAACAUCACGUGCAGCGAGGAGCAAUAUGUUGGCGCAAGAAAUGGUGUGUUGCAGGAGGCCUCGACUUGGACCUUGAUGUCGCCGAGCAAGAUCGAUGCGUCACGGCCCUAUCAAUGGACACACAUGUCAAUGAUAGAAGCUAGAACGAGAAACAUUGCUGACCGUGUGCACCGCGAUGCAACUUACAAUGAUGGUCUUGAUGAAACAGUUGAUCGAGUUAUACANNNNNNNNNNNNNNNNNNNNNNNNNNNNNNNNNNNNNNNNNNNNNNNNNNNNNNNNNNNNNNNNNNNNNNNNNNNNNNNNNNNNNNNNNNNNNNNNNNNNNNNNNNNNNNNNNNNNNNNNNNNNNNNNNNNNNNNNNNNNNNNNNNNNNNNNNNNNNNNNNNNNNNNNNNNNNNNNNNNNNNNNNNNNNNNNNNNNNNNNNNNNNNNNNNNAGUUUUUAGAGGUUAUGCGUAGAGUCAGAGUUGUCAUAUAUGCAACCUUCAUAAUAUGUCUCCUCUUUAUUUUUAUUAUUAAUUUGUUUUACAUCAACUAAAUAUUCAUACUUAUAAUUGGAGGCAUUCAAACACUAAAACUGGAUUAAAAUUCGAACAACAUUGAAAUACACAAUUCUUAUAUGGGGAGAAAUGUCGAUAAACGACAUUUUCAUAUAUAAUAAGUAGACGGGAGGGGCAAAAUUCCUUGAAGAAGGUGUUGUUGAAGAUAGUUUGACCGACGACGGGUUGGCAUAGCCCCCAGCCCAGGGGCAGACUCUGAUGUGCAGCUGCGCACCGAACAUGGAGUCGACGUCGAUGUUCUUGUAGAAGUGCAUGCGGAAGCUAGAGCAUCUGGCAAACCCGACUGUGUGCACCCCAAGUAAGACGAUAACAAUGACGGAGCCAGGAUUAGAGCUAGGGGUGGAACUACCAGUCCGCGUGUUCGCAUGCAUCACACCUAGAAGCGUCAGCGACGUCCAUGGCCAUCAUGUUGAUUUCUUUAUUAGCACCAUUAUUAAAACAACAUCAAUUAGCUUAUUUCAAGUAACACAAAUGGGUCCAUCUGCAUUCCUAUGUUCACCCGUUCGGUUGAUCGUCCGAGCCAACGAGCAGACAGAAAAGGAGGAGAGCUUACGUGGUCAAUCAUUUUCCUAACAAUAAUACCACAAACUUUUACACGUAUUUUGCAGAUCUUUUCUAACUAAUAAAUCAUCCGUCACAGCCCUAUCAAUGCACGCACAUGUCAAUGAUAGAAGCUAGAACGAGAAACAUUGUGGACCAUGUGCACCGCAACGCAACUUACAAUGAUGAAACAUUGAUCAAGUUACACAACACCGUGAAGUGCUGCGGGGGAGGGGGGCAAUGCCCUCUGCACACUUGCUGACGCUAUGUUAUGCCAGUCACAUUUUUAUAAUUUUUAGAGGUCGUGCAUAAAGUCAGAGUCGUCAUAUAUGCAACCUUCAUAGUAUGUCUCCUCUUCUUUUUUUUGCAUCAACUAAAUGUUCAUACUUAUAAUUGGAGGCAUUCAAACACGAAAACUGGAUUAAAAUUCGAACAACAUUGAAAUACAUAGUUCUUAUAUGGGGAGAAAUGUCGAUAAAUGACAUCUUCAUAUAUAAUAAGUAGAGGGGAGGGGCGAAUUUCCUUGAAGAAGGUGUUGUUGAAGAUGGCUUGAACGACGUUGGGUUGCCGUAGCCCCCAGCCCAGGGGCCGACGUUGGUGUGCAGCUGCGCGCCGAACAUGGAGUUUAUGUCGGUGUUUCUUGCAGAAGUGCAUGCCAAAGCUAGAACAUCUAGCGAACCCGACUGUGUGCACCCCAAGUAAGACGAUAACAGGGAUGGAGCCAGGAAUUAGAGCUAGGGGUGGAACUACCAAGUCCGCGUGUUCGCGUGCAUCACACCUAGACUAGUCAGUGAUGUCCAUGACCAUCAUGUUGAUGAUUAUUAAAAAAACAUCAAUUAGCUUAUUUCAAGUAACAUAAAUGGGCCCGUCUGCAUUCCUAUGUUCAUCCGUUCGGUUGAUCGUCCGAGCCAACGAGCAGAUAAAGGAGAAGGAGAGCUUACGUGGUGAAUCACCCUAACAAUAAUACUACAUCCACAAACUUUUACACACAUUUUGCUGAUCUUUUCUAACUAAUAAAUCAUCUGUCGCAACCCUAUCAAUGCACACACAUGUCAAUGAUAGAAGCUAGAACGAGAAACAUUGCGGACCGUGUGUACCGCGACGCAACUUACAAUGAUGGAACUGUUGAUCGAGUUAUACAACACCGUGAAGUGCCAAGGGGGGGGGGGAGGGGGGGCAAGGCCCCCUGCACACUUGCUGACGCUAUGUUAUGCUAUAACAUUUUUAUAAUUUUUAGAGGCCGUGCGUAACCUUCAUAACAUGUCUCCUCUUUAUCAUUUUUUUGCGUCAACUAGAUAUUCAUACUAAUAAUUGGAAGCAUUCAAGGAAAAAGCUUCCAAUCAACCGGCCGAUCUUUCUCGCUGCAUCAGUCGCUCGCGCGGCCGUCAGAUCGCAGCCCAUUGGUACACUAGAUUGUGAGGGCGCGUGACUCGCAUGAAGACUUGGUGCAUGUGCCUGGUCCCUACUACCUGGGCCAACCCUAUUCAUUGCAAAUAAAUUCCGCAACAUCGGUAAUGUUGCAAAACUUGCUCCCGCAACAUCACCUACGUUGCAUGAAUGUGAAGGCAAAAAAAAUUCUGCAACAUUACGUUUGUUGCAUAAAAGUGGAGACAUUUUUUUUCUGCGACAUCACCACGGUUGCAAAAAUUUCUGCAGCAGUACCAUUCUUACAAAAGUUGCAUCACGUCUCCGCACAAAGUCUUUGUUUCAGCAACAACCAACUUGUUGCAAUUCAUGAAGUCACACGAUAACUCUUCAGAGUGGUUUGCAACAAAGUCGUUGUUGCAGACGGAUGAGCGUAACAACUAGCUUGUUGCAAUUUGUGACGCUCACGUGGGGAGAUCUAACGGCGUGGGAGGUGGUCGAACCUAGCACGACCCUUGUUUCUGCAACACCCCACUUGUUGCAGAAGGGAGGUGGGGAACGUGGGUGGUACAUUGGACGGACAGUAGCAUGUCCAUCCAAUGGCCAGCUAGGCGGCGGAUGUUUUUAACUAAUCCACCGACCGACACGUCGCGCAGCCCGGCAUUCAAACACUAAAAUUGGAUUAAAAUUCGAACAACAUUGAAAUACAUAGUUUUUAUAUGGGGAGGCGUGCUCGGGCCUCCCCAUAUCCGUCCAUAUUGGUGCCGGUCAGCCCGGGUUUUUGAGACCGGUUUGAGAUAUAUCUCUGAGUCGUUUUUUACCGGUCACUGACCAGGUCAUCCGUCCGAACACGUAUGAGGGUGGUUUAAGGCGUCGAUUGUAGAUGUUCUAAGGGCAUCUUCAACAAAGUGCGUCGAAAUGGACACACGAACACGUUUGGACGUGUCAUCAAACAACGAAUGGGCCCGGGCAUCUAACCUUUUGCACGAAAUGUCCGUGCACGUUUCAAAACUAAAUCAAAAUUACGCUAGGUAUAUAAUACCUUGUAGGCAUGCACUCUAGGCCCGUCCCCGUUGUCAUCGUCGUUUUUUUUGAAACGAGGCAAAAGACUUGCCAUUUUCAUUGAUUAAGAAGAAGUGAGAAUUUCCCGGUUAAUUGACGGAAAAUCGGGCUAAAACCGAAACAACCCAACCUAUAAACACAUGGGCACCACCGGCCAACCUGGCCACCGACAUGGAACACACUCCAUGACGGUACAUGCCAACAGAUGGCCACACGCACGAACAACCGACAGCUCCGACUUUGCCGACGAUCAUUGCCCGGGAAAUAUGCAGGACUUGCACCGACCGUGCCCGCCGCAAACGACCACCGAGCGCCUGUCAUCAUCACCACCUGGAUCCGCUCCACCGCAGUUCCGACUUCAAAGCAGCCAGGCAACCCACGAAAGAGCACCUCGGACACGCCGGGAAGAUCCGACUACCAAAGCCCGAGCCGCGACCCAAGCUCCUCUCGACGCCAUCAUCGUUGCCAAACAGAAAUCAGCGCCCCCAAACGGCCGCCUCAGCAACCACGCGGCGAAGAUGCCGCCAUCCACCGCGGCGAAGAUGCCGCCUUCCACCGGUCUCCAGUUGUAGCCGACUCCGAGACGAUGCCCCCAAGGAGGAAGAAGACGAGGAGACGCCUUCAUCGCCCGAUCCUGCGGAUAUGAGGAUUCCCUCCGGAGCCAAGGCCGCGGGGAGAAGCACCACACCAAAACGACGCUUCCAAGAAAGAGUGCGGCGCCCGCGGGCGUCGCCGUUGCCGGAUCCGGCAGAGGCCGGAGAAGGAUUUCUCCCGUAGAUGCACAACCACCGCGAGCCCGAACCAGCCGGCCACCAACCACCACCAAACCUGCACCGCAGAGCCACCGAAGGGAAUCUCCCGCCAGCGCCCGCGCCCGUCCCAGCUGAGGCCGUCCCGCGCGACCCCCCGGCCAGCAGCAGUCGUGCUGCCGGGUACUGGGCGCACACCGCCGUCUCCACCGACCAGCCGACCCCGCCAGAGGAAGGAGGAGCCACGCCCGAAACUCGCCGAGCCGCACCACCUCUCGCAGCAGCAGAGACGCCAAACCACAGCAGCUCCGCCGCCGCCCACGCAGCCGACGAGAGCCACCGCCCGCCCGCGGCCGCGCCGCCCAGAGAGCGAAGAGGUCCGGGGCCACCACCCCGGCGUCCGAGCACCCGUGCCGCUGACCUCCGCAGCAGAAACCGGGGAAUCCAAAUCUGGCCGCGACCGGCUCGAUCCAGCCGCCCCACGCAGCGCCCCGCAACAGCCCCCUCCGCACCCGCAAGCCGAGCAUCACCCCCGCCGCCAGAGCAUCACCGGAGAUAGGCGAGGCAGCCGCGCAGUCCACCGCCAGGCACCACGGCGCCGAGCGCCACCCGCCGCCGCUCCCCCAGGACUGGAUGCCGAGCGACGGGAUGAGGCCCCGCCGCCGCCACCCCCGCACGGGCUUUGCCCAGCGGUGGCCACCGGCGGCGGCGAGGGAGGAUGAGCAGGUGGGGGAGUGGGAGGCGGCGGGGAUCUGGUCGCCGCCCGAGUCGCCAAGCUAGGCGAUGCGGGGGCCUUUUUCGAAGCUAUGAUCCAUAAUACUUGUCGUCAAAUGAAUGUAUCUAAAAUUGUCAUCGUCGUUGACGCCUCUAUUGUUGUCGUCGCCCUUCCAACAACGGACGACCACCCAGGGGGGCGUGACAACCAUGAUCAGUAGCCGUCGUGCGGUCAUGGCGUAGCCAACCGACCUCACGCAGACGAUCGGCCACGUCCGGCUCGCGGUGAUGGUCGGGCGCAGACUCCAGUCCACGCCGCCCGCCCUUGGCCUUGGCCUUGUCGUUGCCAGUAAGGGAAAGGGUGUGCUCAGACUUGGCCAACCCCAUAUUGUAGAGUUGGUCGCUAAUCCAGUUCGGGGCCACGCCCGACUUGGCAAAUGCCGAACAACGUGCCGCAUUGGGCCCUGGCCGGCGCUCCUCCCUCCUUUGUUGUUGCCUUUCCGUCUGCCGUCCUGGCAUGCGACGACGAGGCGCCGCCGUCGCGACCGAGGUGGUGAAGGACGCGGCCGCACGCGUUGGUGAUCGUCGACAGGGUUACCCUUCUUGAUGGCGGCGGGACGAGAGGGCACCUGCGUCUUGAUGCAACGUUGCGGCGAGGACAUUGGCUUCUCCUUGACGCGAUGGCAUGACAUUGAGGGCGACGCCAGACAACGAUCGAACAUCGAUCGCACGAGGAGCAGUUGAGCUAUCGCGCGUACUCCUCUUUGGUUCGUGUGGCCUCGGUGAGGAGGAGCGGUUGUUGCUGCCUCAUCGUCCGAGGAGAGCACCACCUCCUCGGUCUUGACCGUUGAUGCCAUGGAGCCCAACGGGCUCGGGAACCGUGGGCGACGAUGCAUGAUCCGAAGCUCCUCGUAGAUCCUCCUGCCGGCAGGGACUUGGCCAUGGCGGAGACGAGCAGUAAGGAGAGGACCGAAAAGGAGAGGAGAGGCGAGGUAGUAGAGGUGAUGGGCUAUAGUUUGCCGAUGCGAUCGACCUGCUUAAAUAACUCGGGCAGUCGGGCCGGUGUUGCUUCGUGCGAGCGCAACUACCGGAGUAGGCUUCCUAGUCGUCGUGUUCGUCUUGAAGUGGCUCUGAUCAGCCACGGGUAGGUGGACGACCAGUUGUGUUUGCUCUGAGAGGCAAUGAAUGCGUGAUGAGGCCUUUGAAGGGAAGCGUGCGACGAGGGUUUUCAGAUGGGCAGGGCGAUGAUGUUUUCCGGUUCGGAAUGCUUGGUCUAGCGCGUGGUGGGCAUCCGCAAACUUGCCCAACUUUGCUUCCGAUUUGCAAAAAUACAAACAUACAGGCCUUUCACUGGUGUUUGAUGUUCGGGGGUGGAGAGCACAAAGUAUCCAGACCGCACGGCCCAGACAUUUACAGACGAUUUGAUAAAUAGCAUUGGAGAUGCCCUUACGAGAGAAUAUAAGUGCCCAUUUACGGACGAUUUGAUAAAUAGCCUUGGAGAUGCCCUUACAAGAGAAUAUCAAGUGCCACAGGAGAACCUAAGCUGCAAGCUCAGCCAUGGAUCUAAGAUCCAAUGUCAGAAAACACACAAGUGAAUAGUGUCAAUUUUUGUGACACUAUUAUGCUGAAUUUGUCUUUUUUUUGUGUAUUUCAGGAAAAAAAAUCUAAUGUUAGAAGAGAGCUACCAAAUCCAUUACUUAGAAAAAACACCCCAAACAAGGAAUGCAUCACAUAAAGAAAAAAAUAAAAGGAGCAACUCGGUUUAUUGAGGAAAACCAGACCAAAACCUAUACAACGCCUAGCAAGACUAAGCCUAAAGCACCACAAAUCCAUGACACAUACAAAGCAUGGAAAGGCCAACACCCGGAUUUUUUGUCGAAAGAGACCCUCUGCCCACUGGAAUUGCCAAAAAAGACCCCCUGCGGACGAAAUUGACAAAAGAGACCCCCUCACUAGUGGCGGCAGGCGCGGCAGGCGACACGUGUCACCUGCCGCCACGCCGUGAGGCGGCGGGCCCGGCCGCCACAACAGGAGGCGGCAGCCCGGUGUAUAACGGUGCGUGCACAGGGCAGCACAGGCCAGCGUGCCGCGACGGAACGGGCCGCGCCAGGCGGGCCUGGCCGCCACCGGGUGGGGCGGCCACUGCUGCCGCUGUCGCUACCCGGCCGACAAGGCCUGCUGCGCGCGGGCCCAGCAGGUGGGCCACGCCGCCACCAGCCGAGGCGGCCUGUCCUGUGCUGCUGCACGCGCGACAGUGCGCAAACGGCGCUGAUUUCGAGGCGCAACAGUGACGGUUGUGACUCCGACGCGCGGGAAUAUGGACGCUUUUGGUUCUUUUGCGUUAGCGGAUGCGACGGCACUGCGAGAAUCACGCUGAUUAUUGCUUCAGCGAAUGCGACGACACUGCGGGAAUCACUCACUCGCUGCGGGAAUCCGAGGCUGCGGGAACCUGUUGUGCCGACACUACAGGGAUCCUCUUCCUUUAUAUAGUAUGCUUCUGCUGCGUGCGCAAGCACACUCGCAUCCUCUUCUAACUUCUGAGUGUGUAAGAACAGAGAGAAAGAAAAACUCAGUAGGCACUUUCACUCGUGAUUUAGGGCGAUUUGGAGUUGGAUUUUGAAUAUGUUGAAGUUGAAGAAAAGAUAGACCAAGGUAAGAUCUAUCCAUUUUUGUUGGUUUCGUUUGCAUGCAUGAUGUUUUUACUCUUUUUGUUUAGUUCAUAACUAUGUGUUAUCUAUUUUGUUAGGCAUUAUUUCAUCACUUUUUGGAGUCAUUUAGAGCUUCAGGAGUACGAUUUGCCUAGCGAAGUGAACUACGAAGUUGAAGAUCAAGGUAUGAGCUUUGCAAUAAAUUGAUUUUUUUAUGCAUGCAAGGUCGUAAUUAGUUAGUCUUUUAGCUCAUCAUUAGCUAUGCAAUGUUAGUGAUUAGAGGUUAGAAAUAAUUUCAGACGACAGAUGUAGCAUUUAUAAUAUAUUUUUUAGAAAAGUAGGUUGAAGAUGUUUGUAUCAAUGUUAGGUGCGUCCAUUAGUAUUGACAUGCAAGAAAUCUUAAUACGAUAAUUAAGAAACACUUGUACUGUAAUUGUUCAUUGCAUGUGGUAUGUUAUUUCAUGUGGUAUGUUUAUUAAUAAGUCUUAGUUAGGAGGUUGUAGGUCUACUUUGUUACGUCGAAAUAAUCUAAAUUUUAUAUGUUACGAAUAUGUGCUAAUGUACUUGAUGAUGUAUGUAAUUAGGUAAAAUAAUUAAUCUUAGUAGCAAACAAGGAGGAGAUGACGUGAUUGAAGAAAUUGUGUUUCCAUCUUCGUUGUCCCUUUUGAGGUGAUGACCAGAUACAUGCAAGUGCUAUUUUCAUACUUUUGAUAGCAGAAAGAAAAAUCCGUGUGUAAUAUUGAUGUUCAUAUGAUAAUAGGUUGACUCUGUUUAUAUAGUACUGGUGACGGAUAUUUAUUCGAACUAUUUGGACUCUUAAUUGCAUUCGCAAGCACAUCCAUAUUGGAGCCAAGGUAUAAAAUGACCCCGUAAUUUUGUUAAUAUUUUUUAUAUUGAUGUACUGUCAUGCCGCUGCAAAUAUUAUUAUUUGUAAAUAAAUGAAUUUUAUCGUAUGAUAUGAAAAACAUUAUAUCAUGCCGAAAGAAAUUAGAUAUUUUACUCAUAUGAUAUUAAAAUGUUAUUAUCGUAAUAUUAUGUUUAGUGGUUGUUUGGAUAGCGAGUACUUACCCUCAGUUUUGUCAUAACCUGUUGUAAGAAAAUUAUGUAGAAAACCAUAUUUUACUAAUUGUCGUUUUUCCAGAAGCUAAGUUUUUACAUGUUGCGAGAACUAUUUUAGGAUAUUUUGGGGGUAGUUAGAGAAAAGAAAACAGAGUUUUAGUUUGUUACGCUCGUAGACAAGUUUGAGAAAAAUAGAUCUUUAAAUACCCGUUAACCAAACAACCCCUUAAAGUCUAAGCAAAUGAUUCUAAAAACAAACCAAAUAUUUAUAACGAAAAUACGGUUAUUAUUUUAGUCGUAAGAUAUGUAAAUGUUGUCAUCGUUACUAAAUGUUCAGUUACUAAUUAUUUGAAAUGUAAACAUGUAUGUUGGUUAGGUACUAUGGAAAAUUUAGUAGUGUACUAUGGAAACGUCUUACGCGACGGUCCAUGCGGGGUGGAUGUGUCCUUCUGCGAGUCGACUACAGUUGUAUUGAGAGACAUGGUCAACGUGGGUUACGCAGCUGUUAGAAGGUGCAUCCGAGCGGUGUUUGGCCCAGUGAUGCAGGAAAAAAAUGACAAUGGAGGCCUUCGUCGUUGACGGAGGAAAUGAUGGGACAGUUGCCCGUUGGGGUUUGCGGCCUGUCACAGGUGAUCAGUCGUGGGGGUCGUACAUGAGGUUUGCAAGCAAUCCCAAUAACUCAAUGUAUGGUCAGCCGAUGGUGUAUGUGGAGUUCAUUUCAGUCACUGAUGUUGCCGGAUGCAGUAGUAGGGGUGGUGAGGUCGAGUUGGCCAUCACAUCAGCCCCUAGCAUCGGCCCAUCGGAACCGACGGGCGGCCAGCCUGUGUAUGACACAGGAUAUUGGUCGGCGGCCGUUGACAUGAGCGAACACGUGGAGGGAUUGCCGGAGGCGCUAGAUGAUGAUGAUCAUUCUUCUGCGUCUUCGGAGUCAAGCGGAGAAGAAGAUGUUCCUCCUCAGAGGGCGGUCGCGGCGGCACUGCAACCUGGGUUUUUACAGGAUAUGAGCAUCACCAACGAAUUUCACUCUGCUUCUGGCCUAGGAGCGGGAAGCCUGGAGGUUGGGCAAGUUUUCCCAGAUAAGAAGUCUGCUUACCAGGCAAUGGGUAGCUAUGCAAUCGGCAUCUACCGCCAGCAUAGAGUGAAGCAGUCUGAUAAAAAAGAGUUGAAGGUCAUAUGCAUCCACACCGCGAAAGGUUGCCGCGGAAGAGUUCUCGCUAGACUGAAGUCUGGGGUAUGUCAGUCAUGGCAUAUCACAAAAAUAGUGGAGCAUACCUGUGAGCAAACUGGGACUCUUUCAGGUCACUGCAAUGUGACAGCAAAAUUUGUGGCACAGACGAUGGAAACAAUCGUGUAGGAAAGUCUCAACAUUAGUGUUAGGGCUCUGCAAAAAGAUGCAGAGGAUCUAAUUGGAUUCCCUGUUAGCUACAGCAAGGCUAGGCGUGCGAAGGAAAAUAUAUUCAAGAACUUAUAUGGUACCUAUGAGGAGGCAUAUUCUUAUGCCCCUAGAAUGCUUCAUCAAAUAGCAAGUGCUAAUAGGGGGACUCAAGUUUGGCGGAGAGAACGUCCAAACCCAAUGAACCCGGGUGAGCUAAUCCUGGACCGCUUAUUCUGGGCAUUCGCCCAGACUAUACAAGCCUUCAGGCACUGUCGCCCGGUAUUAUCUGUUGAUGGUACCUUUCUCACUGGAAAGUACAAGGGCACACUAUUGGUGGCGAUUGCAGCGGAUGCAAAUAAUCAGCUUCUUCCUAUUGCAUAUGCAUUGGUCGAGAGCGAGAACAAAGAUAGCUGGUUGUGGUUCCUGAGCUGCGUGAAGAUUGGUGUCGUGAAAGAGUGUAAAGGUGUUUGCAUCAUUUCUAAUCGCAACACUGGAUUAUUAAGCGCUCUUGAAAUAAUUAAGGCGUCGGAAGAAGAGUGGGGCUGGCCCGAUCUAGAGGGAAGGUGGUGCAUGAGGCAUUUGGCAGCAAACUUUUACUCCAAAUUCAAAAACAAGGAUUGGUUCAAGUUAUUCAAGAGGAUGUGCAUGCAAAAAACUGAAGCCAAAAUGAAUGCGAUAUGGGCAGGUAUCAAUGGUGAGAUCGAUCGCGUGGCCUUGCCGCAGAGAGAAGACCAGAGGGGUCGUAGGACGGCCAUAAAUUUGAGCCGGUGGAUCACCGAGAAUUGCCCUCAUUUGGAGAAGUGGGCGCAGGCUCACGACACCGGGGCUCGGUAUGGAAUAAUGACCAGCAACAUGUCAGAGGUGUACAAUGGUGUUCUUAAAGGGGUGCGAGCACUGCCUAUCACAACCCUAAUUGAAGAAACUUGGAACCGGACCCUGUCAUACUUUGCAGACAGGGUCACCUUCGCCAAAGCACAAGUUGAAUUGAACAAGCCAUGGUCCGAGAAGAUGCAAAGAUAUAUGGACGAGAAAGCAAAGAAGUCCCAAAGUCAUGGCUGCCGGAAAGUGGACGCACUUAGGAAUAAGUGGGAGGUCAAUGUGCGAGCCAAGUACGUUAAGGGUCACCACAGAGGAUCAAAAAAGCAAGCUGUCACCCUUGGCUCAACCUCCUGUGAGUGCACUUGUAACAAGCCCAAGCUUGAGAACUACCCUUGCAGUCAUGUGCUCCGGGCGGCUGCUGUUCAAAAAAUCAGCGUCGAGCCAUACAUAUCGCCGUACUUCAACAUGUACAAUCUAUACAACACUUGGAACGGUGAGUUCUGGGCUUGGGGCAUUGAUAUGAACUACAAAAUGUUGUGGCCAGAUGGGCCGAAAUGGGUUCCGAACGCCGACUUGAUGAGAACCGCAAAGGGACGACGUCAGUCUAGGCGUCAUCGCAAUGACAUGGACCAUAGCCAGAUGGGAGAACCAAGGCGAUGCCGCGUUUGCAGGUGUCCUGGACAUUCACGCAAAGAUUGCCCGUAUCGAGCCAACAACAACGCAUGAUGUUGAUAUAUAUGUAUUCGCCAUGUCUAUUUAUAUUUCUACUCGUUAUGUGUACUUAUAUUAAAUUUAAAUUGAUUCUCUUUGUAUUAUUGUACUCAUGAUGUUAACUUCAGAUAAUUAAUGUAAAUCGUAUCUCUUUGUAUUUUUUAAGUUAAUUUUGAUUUGCAUUUGUAUUUCUGUCUUCCUCGUAAUUUAUAUUUGUAUGUUUGUGUGCAUGUUAUGGGUGAAGUGCCAGUGCUUUUGCAGGGGCCCCAUGACGCCGGCCACCGUUGCCACCUAUUUUUGAAACCAAAUACUAAGCAUGAUUAUCGGCCUUUCAGACUUCGAACCAUAAAGAAAACAUGGCCAAUACACAAUCAUUUCCUUGCUCACCUUGACGCUUAUGGACUACAAGGUUUUGCUAGGCUCACAUCAUGCGACGACCAAGUACGUUCGGACCCAUCCCUUUUGACAUCCCUCGUUGACCGGUGGAGACCUGAAACCCACACCUUUCACUUUCGUUUUGGGGAGCUUGCACCUCACUGAAAGAUGUUUCUAUGAUCACUGCUCUACCAAUUAGAGGUGAGCCGGUAGUCUCUCCACGAGUGUCUCCAUCUUGGGCAUUAAAUAUAGCAGCCCGUCUUGGGAUGGAAAUGCCAGAAUCACAACGUUCUGGUAACCCUCGGGGCAUCCCACUCGUCUGGCUUCGUGAUAACUUUCUUAAUUUAUCUAGCUUCGCCAAUGAGGAGACGUGAAAAAGACAUCUGUUUGCGUAUUUGUUGUGGCUCCUCGGGAAUCUAUUUCCAAAUUCACAUGGGGACGUUGUUGUCCCUGGUCUCAUCUACAUUGCAGAGAAUAUGGUAGAUGAACCUUUAUCCGAGCAGCCAAAAUACAGCUUCGGUUCUUCCAUGCUAUCUCAUACAUACAGAGGCUUGUGUGAUGCCACGCAAAAAACCUCUUUCGCACAAAAAGCUCCAUUACUUUGUGUCGCCUAUGAGUUUCUACAGUUGUGGUCCUGGGAAUAUCUCCCUGUAGGACGACCUCGUAUAGUACAACCCGUAUACCCAUACGACUUUAGCGAGGGUGCUAGCGCAACUAUGGCCACCAGGUGGACAAAGGCACGGAAAUGUUGGUCUCCAGAUAUUGCGAAAAAUUGUUACCCUAUGUACCACCAGCAGUUUGAGAUACUUGAUGAGGCAGGCGCGGAGACAUGUUGAGCUGCAUGCAGCUUACUAUCGUGACCACCUGGUAAUCACUUGUAACUUUUUUAGGUCCAUCAUUUCAUAAUCAUUUGAACUAAAUAACAUCCAAAUAUUGUUCAGCUUGAAAAUGUCAACGAAGUAGGGCAGAUGGCUACGGAUAGCAUGCCGGCCCAGGGCCCAUAUCGCAAGACAUUCUAGAAACUUUUGCAACAAUUCGUGGCAAAGAAGUUCAGAUGCGGUAGAGGCGACCACGUUGUCACUGGAGCAUACAUGCCGGUAGCGAGGUCAGCCAGACCGAGUGCGGCACCGUCAUCCAGACCGAGCGAGGCGCGUACGAGCCAUGAGCAAUGGGGGAGGGUCCGAGUACUAGAACGACAUUGCCACGACAUGACUCAUCUCUGCCACUGCAUCGCUCUUCUUCGAUGCAGCUUCGUCAGGGGCAGACAUCUCAGGACCAUGGCACGGGCUUGGAUUCGAUGCCCGAGCAGUUUCUUUCCCCUAACCCAUAUGCGUACACAGGAUAUGAUGCAUACACCCAAGGUGAGGGAUCUCAGCCGUAUCUCUCCACGCGAGGGAUCCCCAUGCCCGAGGAGACUCAUGUACCAGAUUUAAACCAGCACCACAUACAAUGGCCAGAUAGUAUAGGAGAGGGAUAUGCUCAGGUAGUCAUGUUUACAUUUCGAUGCAUUUACAAUGAUAUCAUAUAUUAUCCUCUAACAGUUUGUUUAAAAUCUUUCUAUGUGUAGGACACACCUGAUGUUAAUUGGGGCGAUGAGAACACCCAACGCGGCGUCAACACAGGCCUCCGGGGAGCAUCACAUGAUCAUGGCGUCAACACAGGCCUCCGGGGAGCAUCACAUGAUCAUGGCGUCAACACAGGCCUCCGGGGAGCAUCACAUGAUCUUGGCGACAUGGUUACAUCAUUAGUUACAGAGUUCUUCGGAGGGGACGUUAUUGGCCCAUCUUUUAUCCCCCCGGAGUCACAACCAUACGCCUACAAUUACGCUUCAGGUUCGCAACAAGGAUUCACGACUCCACCACCUACGCAGGACUCGCAGACACAUGAAGCCGAAUUGGAGUACGGCCGCGGUCUUCGUGUGACCCGGCAACCUAAUCGCUUGUCGUCUUCCGGUCGUAAGGAAAGGCCAGGUGGUCGUCGUAAAGUAGGGUGAUUCAUCUAUGCACGUGCGCGACCCAUUGUAUCUACAUAUGUCUGUAUCAGACUUUUCAAUUUGAACAUCUAUGUAUGCUGAAAUAAAAAUGCACCAGUCAGGAACAAUUUUUCCCGCCUAUAUCUCCCGCCAUACUAUCCCGCUCCACUCUUUUGCUUAUGUUAGGCCGACAUGAAUUUUUUUAAAAAUUUUGGCUGAUGAAUACUGUGCAACCAUUGCCCUUCUUAGACAUUGAAAAAAAAAAUAUUUUUAGGCAAUGCUUUCCCCUCAAUAUUUUCCCGCAAACGCUUUCCCUCCAUAUGUUUCGCCACCCAUUUCCCGCCAACGCUUUCCCGCCAUAUGUCCCCGCCACUCGUUUCCCGCCAUAUGUUCCCGCCAACCCUUUCCCGCCAUACUGCACACGUUCUUUCCCGCCAUUUUCUCCUCUCUACCUAUAAAACCCCCUUCAGACGGAGGUGGAUAAGCAUUCGAGUGUAGUGUAGUCGAGAUGUCCCAUUAUCCUUUCGAUCGUAGUUUUCACCCUAAGAUGAGCAGGACUCUUCUGAGGCUAGCUACCGAUUUCAGGAUGGACAAUAGGAUAGUUCCAUGGGAUGAACUCACCGGUAGUGACACCAUAAUGAAUGAGUUGGCUCACCAAUUACAUAGGUCUGGGUGGCCUGAAAGGACCUAUGAGGAGGUACGUAAAGAACUUCUUAGGUUGCGUGCAAGGUGGAAGAAUGUAGUGGAGCCGAAGAGUGAAACUUUCAGAAAGACUGCAGAAAAUCAUCCAUUUUAUGGACUGAGGAGAGCAAGGAUGAAGAUGAUAUCUUCAUGCCGCCGCUUCCGGGUGCUGCAUCGUCAAAGGGCAAGAGUUCUGCAUCGUCUAAGGGCAAGAGUACUGCAUCCUCGAAGAGCAAGAGUUCUGCAUCGUCCAAGGGUAAGAGUUCUACAUCCUCGAAGGGCAAGAGUUCUGCAUCGAUGGAGGAUGACGAUGAUGCCUUCAUGUAGUUUUUAAGCUGUAUUCCAGUUCUACCGUUUAAUUCGGAUGUACUUGCAUUAUUACUUUGUACUCUCUUAUUGUAGGGCAUUAUGUUCUAUCUUAAUUUUAUUUUGUAGUUGUUGCAUGAUGUUUGAUAUUAGUGGAGGGAAAGAAAAUGCCACUACUUUAUUCUAAAACUAUAUUUAUUUCCAUUACGACACGUCACAACUGAAAAUAAGAUACAUUGUAGAAAUAAACCUACAUUUAACUCCUGAAAUAAAGCUACAUUAAAGUGCAGAAAUAAAGAUAGAAAUGAUUGCGAAAUUUAAAAUACUACCACAGGAAUCUACUGAGUCCAGCGUGGAUAUUUUCCUUUUCCAUCGCCAGCUUCUUCUGCUGCCUUGGCCUCACGAGCCCUUUCUUUCUUUCUCUGCCUCUCCGCCUCACGAGCCUCCUUUCGCUGUCGUUCCUGCUCCUCCAUGCGACGAGCCUCUUCCCUGUUUUUCUUUCCCAUUUCCUGAAAAAACGGUGUUGCUCCGCAUAGUAUUCUUUUAACUCUCUCUCUUGCUCUGUUUUCUCCUCAGCUUCCGCCUUCUCGCGUCGCUCUUCCGCAAAUAAACUAUUCCACGCACGGCGACUUCUUACACGAAUCUCAGUCACUGCCCAAGCCGGCUUCUCCGUGUCAAUCCAACGAUAGUACAUGCACAGAGGCGGAGGAGACUACAACAAGAAACAAAAAUGUUAUUAAAGAAUCAAUGAAAAUACCAACAAUAUCUAUUCGUGAUGGUUAAAGCAUACCGGAGACUUGUCGUACUCUGAAAUAGCUACGGCAGGAUCUUCCUCAUAAUUGGCGCACAUGAAAAACUUCAUGCCCAACCAAUCUGAAAAAUCCGUCACCUCCUUCACCUUGCAAAGAUCAUCACACCAACACCGCAGGACUGCCACCCCCAGAGGCAAACUUGCAUUCUUCAUUUUCCUCGGCCAAUGCUUUGAUUCGAGCAAGGCAAACUCAUACCGACUGAAAAAAUGUGUUACACACUUUGCGCACUGCCGAUUUCGAGGAUGGCUGGACGAGAGCCUCGGUGUCUCCUUUUAUAAGCUCAGACGAUAAAUGAUGGCGAGAAAAUUAAGCGGGGAUAUUUACGAUCCCUGUAGUGUCGGCACAACAGCUUCCCGUAGCCUCGGAUUCCCAGUGCCAUCGCAUUCGCUGAGACAAAAGAAGCAAAGGCAGGAUUGAUUCCCGGGCGAAAGAACCAAAAGCGUCCAUAUUCCCGCGCGUCGGAGUCACAACCGUCACUGUUGCGCCUCGAAAUCAGCGCCGUCUGCGCACUGUCGCGCGUGCAGCAGCACAGGACAGGCCGCCUCGACUGGUGGCGGCAUGGCCCACCUGCUGGGCCCGCGCGCAGCAGGCCUUGUCGGCCGGGUAGCGACAGCGGCAGCGGCGGCCGCCUCACCCGGUGGCGGCCGGCCCCACCUGGCGCGGCCCGUUCCGUCGCGACACGCUGGCCUGUGCUGCCCUGUGCACACACUGUUAUACACCGGGCUGCCGCCUCCUGUUGUGGCGGCCGGGCCCGCCGCCUCACGGCGUGGCGGUAGGUGACACAUGUCGCCUGCCGUGCCUGCCGCCACUUGUGAGGGGGUCUCUUUUGUCAAUUUCGUCCGCAAGGGGUCUCUUUUGUCAAUUCCAGUGGGCAGAGGGUCUCUUUCGACAAAAAUCCAACACCCGAGCAAGCACUCGAGCACCUACGCUGCUGCCACACCGAACCGUUGCAUUAUCUUUGCUGCCACAAGCAUAUCCACAAACAUCGAUGACACUAGAGAGGAAUGAUAUAUCCGAUAGAUUGAACAUAUGCCGCUUCGAUCCCAAAGGUUGGCUAACGCAUGUGGAAGGUGCUCCUCCUGUCCUCUCAAAGAUAUCAUGCUAGCCACCAUCAACCAUCUUCACGAGCCUUGAGUCCCUCUGACUAAAUCCCACUGAAGAGAAAGCCCCCAGGAGGGAGCACAACGCCAAGCAGAGCCAAUAGCGUCAUCAUCGUCUGAUCCGAAAGACCAAAUCUGGGGUUUUCCAAAACAUGAUGAGAAACCUUCAACAAGGAAACGGUGCCGAAAGGCGCCACCAUUGACGACUUCUGCCACAACUAGAGUACAACCAGAGUACAGCUUUGACCGGCAACCACACUUGCCCAAAUCCAAGACCCGGUCAGCCCAUCCAGCCUAUAACCUCCCCAGCGUGCAAGCACGGCACCACACCUCACCCCUGCGCAGCGAAAAACCACGGCAAGGGCCAUCCACGCCUCCGAUAAGCCGAAGUCUCCACACGCAUAGCGAAGUACAAGGAGAAGUUGAUUGGAUACGCUGCGUUAAAUCACAGGAGGGGGAAAGGACAAGCACCAAAAUGAAACGUUCUACAAGAAAAUAAAGUCAAGUUCAACAGGAAUUGGAGUUUGGUGGUGAAAACCUGAAAAUAUUCUGACUAAAGUUAUAUACCGUAACGCUAAGACAAAAAAAAUGGCAAAACAAUAUGGCCCCAGAAAUGAACUCAACAUUAUUUCCUGCACGCAGCCAAAUUCUGUUAUAAUCCUGCAGACACUUAAUACAUACCAAAAUCCCUGAACAGAGCCGGAAGAAAGGCAGAUUAAAAACGUAGCUCAAAUUCAGUGGGAGAGGUCCUUAGCAGCUACCAUAACAGUCACACCAGGCUCCCACAACAAGAGAUCAUUCAUCUACAAAUAGAAACGAAUACUCUAAGCUCCAGCUCUUCAACUCACAUCAUAAAAGUUACUGGCGAAAAUAAACAGGGCGUCUCUUCAUCCCAGACCUCCGUCCUCACCCAUCAUAAGUCUAUAGAGAUAUAAAAUGUGUCAAACAAAUAUUUUUGGCUAGAAAAAAAAAGCAUACAUGGUAUUAUUGCGGCUAACAAUCAUCGUACGUAUCCCAGGUAAUAAGCUAAGGAUGUUAAUUUGCAUUAUCAGGCAAAACAUCACACGGAUCCAAGUUACAGGAUUUGCUCAGCCAUGUGCAUUUGAUAAAGCAAAAGAAAUACGAGUGGUAAAAAAAUAGCAUGCAUCUUCAUCCGUGACCUCCAUCCUCACUGAUCUCAAUGAUCUACAGAGAUAUAAAUUGGGUCAAAGAAACAACUUUUUGGUUACAAGGAAAAAACUUACAUAAUAUUAUUGCGGCUAACAAUCAUUGUAUCUUAAGUAAGCUAAGGACACAAAUUUGCAUGGUCGGGCAAAACAUCAAGGAGAUCAAUUACAGGAUUCGCACAGCCAUGGUCAU